rnacentral:lncRNA from 1 species
CCCCCACAAGUCGGGAUGAGACUCCGGACGAAAAAAAUGCCAAAAAAGGAGAGCCCGAAAAAAAGAAAAAAAGAAAAAUGAGAGAAAAAGAGAGAAGGGGCAAUGCUACUAUCCUUUUACCACACUUGUGCUUCAGAGUAGCACCAUAUUUUGAAGGAAAUAUGCCCUAGAGGCAAUAAUGAAGUUAUUAUUUAUUUCCUUAUAUCAUGAUAAAUGUUUAUUAUUCAUGCUAGAAUUGUAUUAACCGGAAACAUGAUACAUGUGUGAAUACAUAAACAAACAGAGUGUCACUAGUAUGCCUCUACUUGACUAGCUCGUUGAUCAAAGAUGGGUAUGUUUCCUAGCCAUAGACAUGAGUUGUCAUUUGAUUAACAGGAUCACAUCAUUAGGAGAAUGAUGUGAUUGACUUGACACAUUCUGUUAGCUUAGCACUUGUUCGUUUAGUUUGUUGCUACUACUUUCUUCAUGACUUAUACAUGUUACUAUGACUAUGAGAUUAUGCAACUCCCGUUUACCGGAGGAACACUUUGUGUGCUAGCAAACAUCACAAUGUAACUGGGUGAUUAUAAAGGUGCUCUACAGGUGUCUCCGAAGGUACUUGUUGAGUUGGCGUAUUUCGAGAUUAGGAUUUGUCACUCCGAUUGUCGGAGAGGUAUCUCUGGGCCCACUCGGUAAUGCACAUCACUAUAAGCCUUGCAAGCAUUGUGACUAAUGAGUUAGUUGCGGGAUGAUGUAUUACGGAACGAGUAAAGAGACUUGCCAGUAAUGAGAUUGAACUAGGUAUUGAGAUACCGAUGAUCGAAUCUCGGGCAAGUAACAUACCAAUGACAAAGGGAACAACGUAUGUUGUUAUGCGGUUUGACCGAUAAAGAUCUUCGUAGAAUAUGUAGGAGCCAAUAUGAGCAUCCAGGUUCCGCUAUUGGUUAUUGACCGGAGACGUGUCUCGGUCAUGUCUACAUAGUUCUUGAACCCGUAGGGUCCGCACGCUUAAUGUUUCGUGACGAUUUGUAUUAUGAGUUUAUGUGUUUUGAUGUACCGAAGGUAGUUCAGAGUCCUGGAUGAGAUCGGGGACAUGACGAGGAGUCUCGAAAUGGCUGAGACAUAAAGAUCGAUAUAUUGGACGACUAUAUUCGGACAUCGGAAAGGUUCCGAGUGAUUCGGGUAUUUUUCGGAGUACCGGAAAGUUACGCCAAUUCGCCGGGGAGUAUAUGGGCCUUAUUGGGCUUUAGGGGAAAGAGAGAGGAGAGGCUGUGCGCCCCCCCCCCCCCAAUGCUUAGUCUGAAUUGGACUAGGGGAGGGGCGGCGCCCCCUCCUUCCUUCUCUUCUCUUUCCCUUUCCUUCUCUCCUACUCCUACUACUUGGAAGGGCUCCUAGUUCUACUAGGAAGGGGGAAUCCUACUCCCAGUGGGAGUAGGACUCCCCUAGGGCGUGGCAUAGAGAGGGUCGGCCCUCCCCCUCCUCCACUCCUUUAUAUACAGGGAGGGGGCAGCCCUUGGAGACACAACAAUUGAUCUCUUGGAUCUUUUAGCCGUGCGCGGUGCCCCUCUCCACCAUAGUCGACCUCGAUAAUAUCGUAGCGGUGCUUAGGCGAAGCCCUGCGACGGUAGAACAUCAACAUCGUCACCACGCCGUCGUGCUGAUGGAACUCUCCCUCAAAGCUCGGCUGGAUCAGAGUUCGAGGGAUGUCAUCGAGUUGAACGUGUGCAGAACUCAGAGGUGUCGUACGUUCGGUACUUGAUCGGUCGGAUCGUGAAGAUGUACGACUACAUCAACCGCGUUGUGCUAACGCUUCCGCUUUUAGUCCACGAUGGUACGUGGACACACUCUCCCCUCUCGUUGCUAUGCAUCACCAUGAUCUUGCGUGUGUGUAGGAAUUUUUUUGAAAUUACUAUGUUCCCAACAGUGGCAUCUGAGCCAGGUUUAUGCGUAGAUGUUAUAUGCAUGAGUAGAACACAAGUGAGUUGUGGGCGAUACAAGUCAUACUGGUUACCAGCAUGUCAUACUUUGGUUCGGCGGUAUUGUUGGAUGAAGCGGCCCGGACCAACAUUACGCGUAUGCUUACGCGAGACUGGUUCUACCAACGUGCUUUGCACACAGGUGGCUGGCGGGUGUCAGUUUCUCCAACUUUAGUUGAACCGAGUAUGGCUACGCCCGGUCCUUGAGAAGGUUAAAACAGCACUAACUUGACGAACUAUCGUUGUGGUUUUGAUGCAUAGGUAAGAACGGUUCUUGCUCAGCCCGUAGCAGCCAUGUAAAAAUUGCAACAACAAAGUAGAGGACGUCUAACUUGUUUUUGCAGGGCAUGUUGUGAUGUGAUAUGGUCAAGACAUGAUGCUAUAUUUUAUUGUAUGAGAUGGUCAUGUUUUGUAUCCGAGUUAUCGGCAACUGGCAGGAGCCAUAAGGUUGUCGCUUUAUUGUAUGCAAUGCAAUCGCCCUGUAAUUGCUUUACUUUAUCUCUAAGCGGUAGCGAUAGUCGUAGAAGCAAUAGUUGGCGAGACGACAAUGAUGCUACGAUGGAGAUCAAGGUGUCGCGCCGGUGACGAUGGUGAUCAUGACGGUGCUUCGGAGAUGGAGAUCACAAGCACAAGAUGAUGAUUGCCAUAUCAUAUCACUUAUAUUGAUUGCAUGUGAUGUUUAUCUUUUAUGCAUCUUAUUUUGCUUUGAUUAACGGUAGCAUUAUAAGAUGAUAUCUCACUAAAUUUCAAGAUAAAAGUGUUCUCCCUGAGUAUGCACCGUUGCCGAAGUUCGUUGUGCCCAGACACCACGUGAUGAUCAGGUGUGAUAAGCUCUACGUCCAUCUACAAGGGGUGCAAGCCAGUUUUGCACACGCAGAAUACUCGGGUUAAACUUGACGAGCCUAGCAUAUGCAGAUAUGGCCUCGGAACACUGGAGACCGAAAGGUCGAGCGUGAAUCAUAUAGUAGAUAUGAUCAACAUAGUGAUGUUCACCAUUGAAAACUACUCCAUCACACGUGAUGAUCGGACAUGGUUUAGUUGAUUUGGAUCACGUGGUCAUUUAGAUGACUAGAGGGAUGUUGUGACAGCCUGAUUUUGCCCUCUCUUAUUUGCCUGAUUUUCAUUUGGAUUUAUUUUGAAAGUUGGGGUUUCUGAAUAUUUUCAUAUGGACUUAAACACUUGGGUACCCUUGGCUUUCACCCAAGUGCAUCAUUCCCCUCUCUAAUCAUCAUUCCCCUUUUGAUCCAUCUCAAAAUAAUCUUGGGAAUAUUUUUCUUAAAUGAAAAAUAUUCAUUUUCUUCUCUAAAACCCUAGCUAGUUCAAUGAGCUCCAAAGCAACCCUCAUUUUUAUGGCCCACAAAAAUCUGAGAAAAUUCCCAAAUAUUCUUUGAACCCUAGGGCACCUUCCUGAGCAAAAAUAUUUCAUCACUUUUUGGAAUAUUUUUGCUACAGAAAAUAUUUUAUGUUCUGGACAAAAAUGGUGGUUUCUACAGCAACUACCAUUUUACUUGCUCCCCUGUGCCUGAAUUUUCUUGUGCAUCAUCACCUUAAUAGAUGAUGGCUAGCCUCCAAAGCACAACCCCCAACUCCCAGCCAUUUAACCUCGGUAACACCUCAAAGUUACUGAUCAGAAACUUACCUGGCGUGUGAAAUCUUCUCUACUGCACCUGGAGCCAAACCAAGGCGUGGUAACAUUCAAAAGUACCACGAACAACGUGCCAGACAUGGAGUUUGGGCUUAGGUCGGCAUGAGGUCAUAGUCCACCCGGUGACCGCAUUCGUCCAGGCGUGUUGGCAUGCAGCCGAUGCGCUCUGCGAUGCGCUCGAGCCUCUGCUGCUCGCGUGCUUGCUUCCCCGCCUGCCUAAGUGUGCCAAACCUCGCCACCAUCACCGUCUCAACGCCAUUUACUCCUUCCUGGCGCUCGCCGACGCUAGAGCUCGCCGCAGCGACCACGAGCACGGUCCGGCCAACCCAACAAUGCGGUGCGCACUGUUCUCGUCGCCAUCUCCUCGUUCUUGUGCUUGUCCCCGCUCGCCCACAGUUCCCGCGUGAGCUGCUCGUCUUCUCCCCCUCUCACUGACGCUGCUCCUCGCCGGGCGCCGUGGACGGGUGUCCACCGGUAGAGCCCGAACCCCCCCUCUCCGCUCGCCUAUAAAUGGAGCCGCCCCCAGCCUCCUCGAGCACCAUCCACCACUCCCACACACCCCACAAACGCGUAGGAAGCCGUAGCCUGGCCGGGCAUGCCGCGGGCCGCUGCCCUCGAGCUCGAGCUUGUCAGUGAUCCCCUCUGGUCGCCAUAGUAGCUCCAGCCCCUCCCAGGCCAGGGCGAUCCUUCCAGGGCCUCCGCCUCUCUCCGGUGAAGCCAUCCCUUCCCCCUGGAGCCGUGGAGCUGCCUUUGCUCGCCGUCUUCUUCAUCUCCGGUGACCCCCGCCCUCUGCCUCCAUUUGCGAGGAAGAUUCUGACGCCGUCCGACCGCCCCUAGCUACGCUACGGGUACGGGCAGGUGCACCUCAACCCCCUCGCUCGAUCCCUCCCUCUAGUUUUGGCCAAGGAGCCCUCGUCACCGGCGAGAGCUCCGGCGAAGCCGCGACCUUCCUCUGUUUCCUUCUCCCCUCCUUCUCACCUGACUAGCGUGGCCUGCUAGUCAGCCAUUCUGUACGCGCGCGAAGCGGUACGAGUGGUGGCGCCCUGAGGCUUUACGCCUUCGAUGUCACCCCCCCUGGUCUGUUUAUUUAAAUUCAAAUUUCAUUCAAUUCCAGAGAGCUUCAAACCGCCAUAACUUUUCAACCAUAAGUCCAAAUGAAUCGAUUAUUUCUGCAUUAUGUUCUUUGCAAGGAAAUCUAGCAGCUCACCAAAAAUGAGAUUUUUCUGAGCUGUCUAUAAUUUCUGGUGAUUUUCGGAAGAUUUCUUGAUAUUUUCUUCUUGUGUUUAAAAUUAUUUUCAAAGGGUGAGGCUUGUCUUGAGGAUCACCAGAAGGCUUGUGAACCUCAUCUGCACUAAGGCAAGCCACAGCAACAUUUUCAUGGUGCCAUUUCAAUAUUGAUGAAUUUCUUACUUGAAUUGAAUGAUUAAUCCAUGCAUUUUAAAUAACUAUUAUGUUAUUUAUAUGAUGUUAAAGUGUGUGAUGUAUUAUGCUUGAUUUACAAAACCUUGAAACUAGUUAGUUGGUAAAGAGGCUAAGAUCUAAUUAUGGUACUGAUAAAAUGAUUUGUUAUGUGUAUGAAUAAUUGCUUAAAGUUAUUUUUUUGCAUAAAUAAAUAGUUAAAUUUGCUAGAAUAUAUCCUGUUUAGUGCUGGUGUAGCCAUUUUACUUAAUUUCCAGAAUGUUUGAACCUAACUUGAUUGCUAAAGAAAUUAGGAUUUCCUUGAGGUGAUGAUAGUAGAAUCUUUGCUAUGCAUAUGAGGAAUUAAUCAAAGUUAUUUUCUUGCAUGAGAAAAUAAUGUUACUUGCUGAAAAAUAUAUUGUUAAAGUGAGACCAAGAAAGUAAGAUAAGUUGUUGAUGCUUAUGCUUAGUGUGAAUAUGGUUGACAUCAGUCAUUUUUGUAUUAUAUUAUGCAUGUGUAGUAUUGCAUUUCAUGGCAUGCUAUGACACCGGUCAUUUUCAUUUUAAGUUGAACCUGAAUAUAACUCAACUUGAAUAUAUCGUUGACUGGGUUAUGGUGCCGCUGAAUCGAGAUUUUCCCAGUGCAACCACAUUUGCCUUUGUGGGAAGGCCUUGAUUCGGUCCAUUGACAUGUCUCUGGUCAGUGCCUCCAACUAGGGAAGGUUAUGGGCAUGCUUACCCUGGCCCGAUAAGCAGGCAUAACCUUGUGUGCCCGUUGUUGAGAUUUUGGUACCGGGUCCCCGAGUGAGAUUGUUUUGGCCAUGACGGUGGUCGGUGUGUCUUUGGUAGACACGGGGCCACCCAGGACUAGCCCGUUGGGGAUUGGGUCGGAGUGGCUGGGAGAGUGUCAUGGCAAUGGAAGGUUUUUGUCGGAAUGUCGUUGGUCCACCCAAAUGGGAGUGCGAGGCCAUGGGUUCCAUGGUGUGGGUAUAGUGUGCUACCUCUGCAGAGUGUAUAGUCUAUCGAUAGCCGAGUCCACGGUCACGGACAACUUGUAGUAGGUCCCACCAUGAGUCAACAUUUAAUAAACAUGCACACUAAGUUAUGAUCAUUGCACUGAUGAUGAUGGCGGAAAGGCCAUCGAGCUGUUCAAAACCCAAUAUGGGUCGUGGUGGUGAUCGCCGAAAGGAUCACGAGUUACUCUGGUUAAGACCAUGAUGGUGGUGUGGUAGUGAUCGCCGUAAGGAUCACGAGUUAUUCUGGUCAAGACCACGAUGGUGGUUUGGUUGUGAUCGCCGUAAGGAUCACAAGUUACACUGGUUAAGACCAUGAUGGUGGUUUGUUUUGUGAUCCGAGAACGAUCAUGGUUGUUAAGUUGGUCCUGAGGGACGUUUAUCCCAAGAGCAUGAGCACAGCAUGUUGGAACAUUAUUGCAUUAUUAAUUGGUUAAAUAUCAUGAUAUUGUUUGUCAUUAUGAUUAUGCCUGUUGUGAGCUUGCAAGUACAUUCAAUGUACUGACCUGGCGUGUCAUGCUAGAUUUCAGGAAAGUCGCGUUGGAAAGGAGCGUUGCUCGAGUCUAGAUCGUGUCCACACUGGUGUCCCUGUGCUAUGGAGUUUCCGCUACGACGUUGUUCCGCUGCCGCAUAGUUGAUAUGAUUGAGGCCCCAUUAUGUUCACUAAAUAAUGUACAUAUUGUUCAGCUGCACCGUGUGUGCUGCUCGGCCUCGACAUCUGUUGUAAUAAAAACUCUGACCUAUUAGCAUCAAUAAAGCGGUUGUUUUUUGUACCAAGAUGUUGUGUGUUGCCAGAAGACAUGGUCUCUGGGCUGGCAAUGCAGGGUAAACCGGUCGCUCUGAGCCGGGGUGCCACAAUGCUUGGUAUCGGAGCCGUGCUGACUGUAGGCCACGCUAGACUACGAUGUGUUAACUGGACGUUAGAUACGAGUUUUAGUUGAGUGCCGGUAGCUAAUGUAGCUGAUUGUUGCAUUGCAUUCACUUGAUUUAUGUUUUUAUGCUAACCUGCUAAUGGUUGUGAGUGUAGAUGGCUCCGGUGUCGUAUCCAUGCCAUUUGCAGCUGAUGCCAUACAAGUCACCUUACCUUCUUCGCAACGUGUGGCGUCGGUUGUACCCCCUCAGAGACGAUCCAGUAUAUCAUGUGUACCGGGAGCGUCUAGUUGAUUCAGUGUAUGAGUAUCACGCAGUGGUUACUCUGCGCACUAGUUCCGAUUCCGGCUCUUACACUCAUACUUCUCGGAGCGGUUACGCCUCUACCGCUUAUCAGGCUAUCCAGUUUGCUGCAUUCGAGGUCCUUGUUGACCUUCUCUACAAUGAGAUUCGAAUGUAAAACCAUCUAGGUUUCUUUUACUACCCUUCUCUGCUCGACAAUGGUAGUGUUCGUUUCCAGAUCAUUGAUCCGGAGUCUGAUAGUGUUGCUAGCCACCUUGCUCGUUAUGUCACUGCUAGCUAUCUUAUGAUCCACGAGCUAGCUCGAGAACUGACUCAUGCCCGUACUGCUUUAGCCACUGCUUUGGUCACUACUAGAUCUGCCACUACUCCAUCUUCUCUGGGAUUUACUCCCUAUAUUCCAGCCAGUUCUAGUUCCCCUGUUUCACCGGUUACUCCCCCGAGUAGCUCAGGCACCUCGACGGUGAACCCUCUCAGUACUCCUGCUGAGUGGGCUUCACUUCUCACCACUCAUGUAGCCCCGAUGCUUCAUCCUGCCCCUGCCCCUGAGGGAGAGCCCUCGAGGCAGCGUCGUCGUGUUACCUUUAACCUGGAGGUUUCCAUUAACUACGUCAGUUCAAGAUCCAAGUCCGCUUCAGGGGAGGACACCGCAACACCAGCAGAGCAGUAGUACCUCAGAGUAUUCGCAGUCGUCCGGAUGAUGUACGGAUGUAGUCGUACGAGUCAUGAUGUUUUAUUGCAUGUAUGAGAGUAGUUGAACCUGUCAUGUUGUUUAUCUUUCAUGUAUGAGUCUAUGUAUAAUUAUGUUGGAACUUUAUUCGCCGUAUUUUCUUCGCUCUUUUGCUUUCUUCUGGGAUUUGUCACUGGCUUUUCCCCAAAUUUAUUCUUGGAUGUUUCUCAUCUCUAUUGCGUUGUCUUGGGAAAAUCCACAAUAGGAUGACGCGGGGAGGUAGCAGUAGCAACAUUCGUGUUCGAACUCUUGUUCGUCAUUCCGCACGACAGGCAGGACAUUCUCCCAAGCCGUACGUUCGGCCACUGCCUCCACCGCCAAAUCCACCCUCCACCGAGCAAAUUCUGCGUAUGUUUGAGGAAAGAAGGAACAAUGAUCUGCUUGAAAUAUUAAGAAGUGGGCAAGCUAUGGUUGGACAGAAUGGAAAUUAGAACGGUCAUUACUCAAAGCUGUCAGAUUUUCAAAGGACCAAGCCACCCAAUUUCAGUCAGAUUGUUGACCCAUUGGAUGCAGAUGAUUGGUUGCGUACCAUUGAGAAAAAGCUUGAGAUUGCUCGUACUGAAUAAAAUGAUAAAGUUCCAUUUGCAACUCAUUAUCUUGAAGGCGCUGCUGCCAUAUGGUGGGAAAAUACAAAAGCCAUGUGGCCUACUGAUGAAGAAAUCACCUGGGAAAAAUUUAAGGAUCAGUUCCGGAAACAUCAUUUCCCUACUGGAGUUAUGAAGGUUAAGCAGCGUGAAUUUCUCGCACUCGUCCAAGGAAAUCAGUCUGUGGGUGAAUAUUUGCAAAAAUUCAAUCACCUGGCCCGUUACUCCCUUUAUGACGUGGCCACCGCAGAAAGGAAGAUUGACAGAUUUCUUGGAGGCUUAAAUCCGCAACUCUGGUGUACUCUCAGUAUGUUUGACUUCCCAGAUUUCCAAACUCUGGUAAACAAGGUUUUCAUUGCUGAACGGGAGCACAAGCUUAUAUAAAAUAAUAGGCCUGCCAACAACGACAACAAGCGUAAGUUUGAGCCAAAGAAGGAUGGGCAACCAGUGCAAAAGGCUCGAACCUGGCAGCAGACUCACGUGGAAUACAAGCCCAAUUGGCAACAGAAUGUUAACAAGACCACCACUCAAGUCAAGAAUGUCGUGACCAACCCAAUACGUGGGGAGCGUUAGCGCAACAAUUCUUGCUUCAUUUGUGGGCAGAAUGGACAUUAUGCCAAACAGUGCCCCAAGAAUAACAAGGCAGAUGCCCCAUUCAGGCCACAAUUCAACUUUAUAGAGUCAUGCCCGACCCAGCAAAACAUUACUGGGCACGUGCAUCAUCUCUCAGCCGAUGAAGCACAAGAGAACCACGAAGUCAUCAUUGGUAUGUUUUCUGUUAAUGACAUACCUGCCAUAAUUUUAUUUGACUCUGGGGCAUCCCAUUCUUUUAUUUCUCGGAGUUUUGCUGCCCAAAACAGAUUUCCUUGUACACUUUUGGGCAAAAAUAUGCUGGUACAAACCCCAGGAUCUCUAAUCAAGAGCAACAUGGUUUGCCGUGAUCUGGAAAUCAAUAUCAACAGAGUCUACUUUCCAACCUCUUUGAUAAUUAUUGAGUCUGAAAAGUUGGAUAUUAUAUUGGGUAUGAAUUGGUUGACCCAAUAUAGAGUUUGUAUAAACUGCGUAACACGAGAAGUCACUUUGACCAGUCUAAAUGGGCAGACUACCAAAUUCUAUGCUCACAAGAAUAUAUCCAAGGAAGGAUUGGUUUUCACCGCUGUGGCAGAGUUGGAAUUAAUUCCUGUGGUCAGCGAGUACCCUAAUGUAUUUCCAGAAGAACUGCCAGGCAUGCCACCAGAUCGAGAGCUGGAAUUUGCAAUAGAUCUUAUGCCCGGAACUGCACCAUUAUACAAGAAGUAUUACCGGAUGCCUUCAUCAGAAUUAGUGGAGCUAAAGAAGCAGCUUGAUGAACUACUCCAAAAGGAUAUAUUCGUCCCAGCUCUUCACCAUGGGGAUCACCCACUAUUUUCGUGGACAAAAAGGAUGGCAGCCUCCGCAUGUGCGUAGAUUACCGUCAGCUGAAUGAGGUCACCAUCAAAAAUAAAUAUCCGCUACCAAGGAUUGAUGAUUUGUUUGAUCAGCUUAGUGGGGCUAAGGUAUUCUCUAAGAUCGAUUUACGGACCGGAUAUCAUCAGCUCAAAAUUAAAAAGGAAGAUAUUCCUAAGACCGCAUUCACUACUCGGUGCGGUCUUUAUGAAUAUAAAGUGAUGUUCUUUGGUCUCACCAAUGCCCCUGCUUUCUUCAUGCAUAUGAUGAACAAAGUAUUCAUGGAAUUCCUCGACAAAUUUGUGGUAGUCUUCAUCGAUGACAUCCUCAUUUACUCCAAGGGUGAAGAUGAGCACAAGGAUCACCUCCGAGCAGUGCUACAACGACUCCGCGACCAUCAGCUUUACGCCAAAUUUAGUAAAUGUGAGUUUUGGCUCAAGCAAGUUGGGUUUCUCGGACAUGUACUAUCCACUGAGGGUAUAGCCGUGGACCCGAGCAAAGUAAAAGAUGUGCUCGAUUGGUUGCCACCCACGACAGUGACACAGAUCCGGAGUAUUCUCGGAUUAGCUGGAUAUUACUGUUGUUUCAUUGAGGGGUUUUCCAAGAUUGCUAAACCCAUGACAGAGCUGCUCAAAAAGGAUAAGAAGUUUGAAUUGAUGGAGGACUGUGAGAAAAGUUACAAUGAGCUAAAGAUACGGCUGACAACCGCACCUAUAUUGACUCUCCCAGACAUGUAUCGCAGCUUUGAUGUGUAUUGUGACGCCUCCAGGCAAGGCCUCGGUUGCAUACUUAUGCAAGACGGCAAGGUAGUAGCAUAUGCAUCGCGACAGCUAUGGCCCCACGAGGGAAAUUAUCCUACUCAUGAUUUGGAAUUGGCUGCGGUGGUUCAUGCGCUAAAAAUUUGGAGACACUACCUCAUCGGGAAAAGGUGCCAAAUUUUUACCGAUCAUAAAAGCCUUAAAUACAUAUUUGCUCAGUAGGAUUUAAAUCUUCGUCAACGAAGAUGGCUAGAGUUGGUCAAGGAUUAUGAUCUUGGAAUAAAUUACUGUUGGGGAACGUAGCAAUAAUUCAAAAUUUUCCUACGUGUCACCAAGAUCAAUCUAUGGAGAGACUAGGAACGAGAGAGAGAGAGAGGAGUGCAUCUUCAUACCCUUGAAUAUCGCGAUGUGGAAGCGUUACAAGAACGUGGAUGAAGGAGUCGUACUCGCAGCGAUUCAGAUCACGGUUGAUUCCGAUCUAAGCGUCGAACAGCACCUCCGCGUUCAACACACGUGCAGCCCGGGGACGUCUCCUCCUUCUUUAUCCAGCAAGGGGAGAGGAGAAGUUGAGGGAGAGCUCCGGCAGCACGACGGUGUGGUGGUGGAGCUUGCAGUUCUCCGGCAUGGCUUCGCCAAGCACUACGGAGGAGGAGGAGGAGGUGUUGGGGAGAGAGAGGGCUGCGCCAGGGGAAGGGGUGCGGCUCCCAUGUGCCUCCCCACUAUAUAUAGGGGUGGAGGGGGCUGGUUUAUUUCCCUCCAAGUCCAUUGGGGCGUAGGCAAAGGUCAGGAAAGAAAUCCCAUCAUUUCCCUUCCCCGCCGAUUGUUAUCCCCCUUUUUUUAGGGAUCUUGAUCUUAUCCCUUCGGGAUAUGAUCUUAUUCCUUCUAAGGGGGGAUCUUGGUGCGCCUUGACCAGGGGUGUGGGGCCUUGACCCCACUACCCACGUUCAUGUGGGUCCCCCCAUGCAGGUGGGCCCCACCCCGGAACCUUCUAGAACCUUCCCAGUACAAUACUGAAAAAUCCCGAACAUUUUCCGGUGGCCAAAAUAGGACUUCCCAUAUAUAAAUCUUUACCUCCGGACCAUUCUGGAACUCCUCGUGACGUCCGGGAUCUCAUCCGGGACUCCGAACAACAUUCGGUAACUGCACACUAAUUUCCCAUAACAACUCUAGCGUCACUGAACCUUAAGUGUGUAGACCCUAUGGGUUCGGGAAUCAUGCAGACAUGACCGAGACAGCUCUCUAGCCAAUAACCAAUAACGGGAUCUGGAUACCCAUGUUGGCUCCCACAUGCUCCACGAUGAUCUCAUCGGAUGAACCACGAUGCCGGAGAUUCAAUCAAUCCUGUAUACAAUUCCCUUUGUCAAUCGGUAUGUUACUUGCCCGAGAUUCGAUCGUCAGUAUCCCAAUACCUCGUUCAAUCUCGUUACCGGCAAGUCACUUUACUCGUUCCGUAACGCAUGAUCCCGUGGCUAACUCCUUAGUCACAUUGAGCUCAUUAUGAUGAUGCAUUACCGAGUGGGCCCAGAGAUACCUCUUCGUCAUACGGAGUGACAAAUCCCAGUCUCGAUUCGUGCCAACCCAACAGACACUUUCGGAGAUACCUGUAGGGCACCUUUAUAGCCACCCAGUUACGUUGUGACAUUUGGUACACCCAAAGCAUUCCUACGGUAUCCGGGAGUUGCACAAUCUCAUGGUCUAAGGAAAUGAUACUUGACAUUAGAAAAGCUCUUAGCAAACGAACUACACGAUCUUGUGCUAUGCUCAGCAUUGGGUCUUAUCCAUCACAUCAUUCUCCUAAUGAUGUGAUCCCGUUAUCAAUGACAUCCAAUGUCCAUGGUCAGGAAACCAUAACUAGCUAUUGAUCAACGAGCUAGUUAACUAGAGGCUUAUUAGGGACAUGUUGUGGUCUACGUAUUCACACAUGUAUUACGGUUUCCAGUUAAUACAAUUAUAGCAUGAACAAUAGACAAUUAUCAUGAACAAGGAAAUACAAUAAUAACCAUUUUAUUAUUGCCUCUAGGGCAAAUUUCCAAGAGUCUCCCACUUGCACUAGAGUCAAUAAUCUAGUUCACAUCACUAUGUGAUUGUAAUGAAUCCAACACCCAUGGGGUUUGUUCAUAUCUUGCUUGUGGGAGAGGUUUAUUAGUCAAUGGGUCUGAACCUUUCAGAUCCAUGUGUGCUUUACAAAUCUCUAUGUCAUCUUGUAGAUGCAGCUACCACGUGCUACUUUGAGCUAUUCCAAAUAACUGCUCUACUAUACGAAUCCGGUUUACUACUCAGAGUCAUCCGGAUUAGUGUCAAAGUUUGCAUCGAUGUAACCCUUUACGACGAACUCUUUUACCACCUCCAUAAUCGAGAAAAUUUCUUAGCCCACUAGUUACUAAGGAUAAGUUCAACCGUUGUCAUGUGAUCCAUUCCUGGAUCACUCUUGUACCCCUUGACUGACUCAUGGCAAGGCACACUUCAGGUGCGGUACACAGUAUAGCAUACUAUAGAGCCUACGUCUAAAGCAUAGGGGACGACCUUUGUCCUUUCUCUCUCUUUUGCCGUGGUCAGGUCUUGAGUCUUACUCAAUACUCACACCUUGUAACACAGCCAAGAACUCCUUAUUUGCUGAUCUAUUUUGAACUCCUUCAAAAUCUUGUCACGGUAUGUAUUCAUUUGAAAGUACUAUUAAGCGUUUUUUAUCUAUCCUUAUAGAUCUUGAUGCUCAAUGUUCAAGUAGCUUAAUCCAGGUUUCCAUUGAAAAACACCUUUCAAAUAACCCUGUAUGCUUUCCAGAAAUUCUACAUCAUUUCUGAUCAACAACAUGUUAACAACAUAUACUCAUCAAAAAUUCUAUAGUGCUCCCACUCACUUCUUUGGAAAUAAAAGUUUCUCAUAAACUUUUUAUAAACCCAAAAUCUUUGAUCAUCUCAUCAAAGCGUACAUUCCAACUCCGAGAUGCUUACUCCAGUCCUUAGAAGGAUUGUUGGAGCUUUGCAUACUUGUUAGCAUCUUUCAGGAUUGACAAAACCUUCUGGUUGUAUCACAUACAACCUUUCCUCAAGAAAAUCGUUGAGGAAACAAUGUUUUGACAUCCUAUCUGCAAGAUUUCAUAAAUAAUGCAGUAACUGCUAACAUAAUUCCAACAGACUCUUAGCAUCGCUACGAGUGAGAAAGUCUCAUCGUAGUCAACUCCUUGAACUUGUCGAGAAACAUCUUAAUGACAAGUCGAGCUUUCUUAAUGGUGACACUUACCAUCAUUGUCCAUCUUCCUUUUAAAAUCCAUCUGCACCCAACAGCCUUACGACCAUCAAGUAGUUCUUUCAAAGUCUAUACUUUUUUAUACAUGGAUCCUCUCUCGGAUUUUAUGGCCUCGAGCCAUUCAUCGGAAUCCAGGCCCACCAUCGCUUCUACAUAGCUCGUAGGUUCAAUGUUGUCUAGCAACAAGACUUCCAAGACAGGAUUACGUACCUCUCUGAAGUAGUACACAUCCUUGUCGACCUAUGAGGUUUGGUAGUGACUUGAUCCGAAGUUUCAUGAUCACUAUCAUAAGCUUCCACUUCAAUUGGUGUAGGUGCCACAGGAACAACUUCAUGCACCUUGCUACAAACUAGUUGAAGUGACGGUUCAAUAACCUCAUCAAGUCUCCAUCAUCCUCCCACUCAAUUCUUUCGAGAGAAACUUUUCCUCGAGAAAGGACCCAUUUCUAGAAACAAUCACUUUUGCUUCUGGAUCUGAAAUAGGAGGUAUACCCAACUGUUUUGGGUAUUCUAUGAAGAUGCAUUUAUCCACUUUGGGUUCGAGCUUAUCAGCCUGAAACUUUUUCACAUAAGCGUCGCAGACCCAAACUUUUAAGAAACGACAGCUUAGGUUUUUCUAAACCAUAGUUCAUACAGUGUCAUCUCAACGGAAUUGUGCGGUGCCCUAUUUAAAGUGAAUGCGGUUGUCUCUAAUGCCUAACCCAUAAACGAUAGUGGUAAUUCGAUAAGAGACAUCAUGGUAUGCACCAUAUCCAAUAGGGUGCAGUUAUGAUGUUCGGACACACCAUCACACUAUGGUGUUCCAGGCGGUAUUAGUUGUGAAACAAUUUCCACAAUGUCUUAAUUGUGUGCCAAACUCGUAACUCAGAUACUCAUCUCUGUGAUCAUAUCAUAGACAUUUUAUCCUCUUGUCACGACGAUCUUCAACUUCACUCUGAAAUUACUUAAACCUUUCAAUAAUUCAGACUUGUGUUUCAUCAAGUAAAUAUACUCAGCAUCUACUCAAAUCAUCUGUGAAGUAAGAACAUAACGAUAUCCACUGCGUGCCUCAGCACUCAUUGGACUUCACACAUCAAAAUGUAUUACUUCCAACAAGUUGCUUUCUUGUUCCAUCUUACUGAAAAAUGAGGUCUUUCAGUCAUCUUGCCCAUGUGGUAUGAUUUGCAUGUCUCAAGUGAUUCAAAAUCAAGUGAGUCCAAACGAUCCAUCUGUAUGGAGUUUCUUCAUGCAUAUCUACCAAUAGACAUGGUUCGCAUGUCUCAAUCUUUUCAAAAACGAGUGAGUCCAAAGAUCCAUCAACAUGGAGCUUCUUCAUGCGUUUUAUACCAACAUGACUCAAAUGGCAGUGCCACAAGUAUGUGGUACUAUCAUUACUAUCUUAUAUGUUUUGGCAUGAACAUGUGUAUCACCAUGAUCGAGAUUCAAUAAACCAUUCAUUUUAGGUGCAAGACCAUUGAAGGUAUUAUUCAAAUAAACAGAGUAACCAUUAUUCUCCUUAAAUGAAUAACCGUAUGGCAAUAAACAUAAUCCAAUCAUGUCUAUGCUCAACGCAAACACCAAAUAACAAUUAUUUCGGUUUAACACCAAUCCCGAUGGUAGAGGGAGCGUGCGAUGUUUGAUCACAUCAACCUUGGAAACACUUCCAACACAUAUCGUCAUCUCACCUUUAGCUAGUCUCCGCAGCCUUUUAUUUCGAGUUACUAACACUUAGCAACCGAACCGGUAUUUAUUACCCUGGUGCUACUAGGAGUACUAGUAAAGUACACAAUAAUAUAAUGUAUAUUCAAAAUACUUCUGUCGACCUUGCCAGCCUUCUCAUCUACCAAGUAUCUAGGGUAGUUCUGCUUCAGUGACCGUUCCCCUCAUUACAGAAGCACUUAGUCUCGGGUUUGGGUUCAACCUUGGGUUUCUUCACUAGAGCAGCAACUAAUUUGUCGUUUCAUGAAGUAUCCCUUCUUUCCUUUGCCCUUCUUGAAACUAGUGGUUUAACCAUCAACAAUUGAUGCUCCUACUUGAUUUCUACUUUCGCGGUGUCAAACAUCGCGAGUUGCUCAAGGAUCAUCAUGUUUAUCCCUGAUAUGUUAUAGUUCAUCACGAAGCUCCAAUAGCUUGGUGGUAGUGACUAUGGAGAACCAUCACUAUGUCAUCUGGAAGAUUAACUCCCACUCGAUUCAAGCGAUUGAGGUACUCACACAAUCUGAGCACAUGCUCAAUGAUUGAGCUUUUCUCCCUUAGUUUGCAGGCUUAACAAACUUGUCAGAGGUCUCAUACCUCUUGACAUGGGCAUUAGUCUGAAAUCCCAAUUUCAGUCUUUGGAACAUCUCAUAUGUUAUGCGACGUUUCAAAAACGUCUUUGGUGCCACAAUUCUAAACCGUUAGCAUUAUGCACUGAACUAUCAUGUAGUCAUCAAAACGUGUAUGUCAGAUGUUUCCCAACAUCUAAAGACGACGCUCGAGGUUCAGCACACUGAGUGGUGCAUUAAGGACAUAAUCCUUCUAUGCAGCAAUGAGGACAAUCCUCAGUUUACGCACCCAUUCCGCAUAAUUGCUACUGUCAACUCUCAACUAAAUUUUCUCUAGGAACAUAUCUAAAACAGUAGAAUCAAAGCGUGAGCUAUGACAUAAUUUGCAAAGACCUUUUGACUAUGUUCAUGAUAAUUAAGUUCAUCUAAUCAAAUUAUUCAUUGAACUCCCACUUAGAUAGGCAUCCCUCUAGUCAUCUAAGUGAUACAUGAUCCGAGUCAACUAGGCCAUGUCCGAUCAUCACGUGAGACGGACUAGUCAUCAUCGGUGAACAUCUUCAUGUUGAUCGUAUCUUCUAUACGACUCAUGUUCGACCUUUCGGUCUUCCGUGUUCCAAGGCCAUGUCUGUACAUGCUAGGCUCGUCAAGUCAACCUAAGUUUGUUGCGUGUGUAAAUCUGGCUUACACCCGUUGUAUGCAAACAUUAGAAUCUAUCACACCCGAUCAUCGUGUGGUGCUUCAAAACAACGAACCUUCGCAACGGUGCACAGUUAGGGGGACACUUUCUUGAAAUUUUAGUGAGGGAUCAUCUUAUUUAUGCUACCGUCGAUCUAAGCAAAUAAGAUGUAAACAUGACAAACAUCACAUGCAAAUCAUAAAGUGACAUGAUAUGGCUAAUAUCAUCUUGCGCCUUUGAUCUCCAUCUUUGAGGCGCGGCAUGAACACCAUCGUCACCGGCAUGACACCAUGAUCUCCAUCAUCGUGUGUUCAUGAAGUUGCCUCGCCAACUAUUACUUAUACUACUCUGGCUAACGGUUAGCAAGAACGUUUCUUACCUACGCAAAAGCCACAAGGGUGAUAUGCCAAUUGCUAUUUACCCUUCAUAAGGACCCUCUUCAUCGAAUCUGAUCCGACUAAAGUGGGAGAGACAAACACCCGCUCGCCACCUUAUGCAUCAAGUGCAUGUCAGUCGGUGGAACUAGUCUCACGUAAGCGUACGUGUAAGGUCGGUCCGGGCCGCUUCAUCCCACAAUGCCGCCGGAUCAAGAUAAGACAAGUAACGGUAAGCAAAAUGAACAAAUCAUCACCCACAACUACUUGUGUUCUACUUGUGCAUAGAAUCUACGCAUAGACCUAGCUUAUGAUGCCAUUGUUGGGGAACGUAGCAAUAAUUCAAAAUUUUCCUACGUGUCACCAAGAUCAAUCUAUGGAGAGACUAGGAACGAGAGAGAGAGGAGUGCAUCUUCAUACUCUUGAAGAUCGCGAUGCGGAAGCGUUACAAGAACGCGGAUGAAGGAGUCGUACUCGCAGCGAUUCAGAUCACGGUUGAUUCUGAUCUAGGCGUCGAACAACGGCGCCUCCGCGUUCAACACACGUACAUCCCGGGGACGUCUCCUCCUUCUUGAUCCAGCAAGGGGAGCGGAGAAGUUGAGGGAGAGCUCCGGCAGCACGACGGCGUGGUGGUGGAGCUUGCAGUUCUCCGGCAGGGCUUCGCCAAGCACUACGGAGGAGGAGGAGGUGUUGGGGAGGGAGAGGGCUGCACCAGGGAAAGGGGUGCAGCUCCCAUGUGCCUCCCCACUAUAUAUAGGGGUGGAGGGGGCUGGUUUCUUGCCCUCCAAGUCCAUUGGGGCGUUUGCAUAGGUGGAGGAAAGAAAUCCCAUCAUUUCCCUUCCCCACCGAUUGUUGUCCCCCUUUUUUAGGGAUCUUGAUCUUAUCCCUUCGGGAUAUGAUCUUAUUCCUUCUAAGGGGGGAUCUUGGUGUGCCUUGACCAGGGGUGUGGGGCCUUGACCCCACUACCCACGUUCAUGUGGGUCCCCCCAUGCAGGUGGGCCCCACCCCGGAACCUUCUAGAACCUUCUCGGUACAAUACCAAAAAAUCCCGAACAUUUUCCGGUGUUCAAAAUAGGACUUCCCAUAUAUAAAUCUUUACCCCCGGACCAUUCCAGAACUCCUCGUGAUGUCCGGGAUCUCAUCCGGGACUUCGAACAACAUUCGGUAACUGCACACUAAUUUCCCAUAACAACUCUAGCGUCACUUAACCUUAAGUGUGUAGACCCUCUACGGGUUCAGGAAUCAUGCAGACAUGACCGAGACAGCUCUCUGGCCAAUAACCAACAGCGGGAUCUGGAUACCCAUGUUGGCUCCCACAUGUUCCACGAUGAUCUCAUCGGAUGAACCACGAUGCCAGGGAUUCAAUCAAUCCUGUAUACAAUUCCCUUUGUCAAUCGGUAUGUUACUUGCCCGAGAUUCGAUCAUCGAUAUCCCAAUACCUCAUUCAAUCUCGUUACCGGCAAGUCACUUUACUCGUUCCGUAACGCAUGAUUCCGUGGCUAACUCCUUAGUCACAUUGAGCUCAUUAUGAUGAUGCAUUAUCGAGUGGGCCCAGAGAUACCUCUCUGUCAUACGGAGUGACAAAUCCCAGUCUCAAUUCGUGCCAACCCAACAGACACUUUCGGAGAUACCUGUAGUGCACCUUUAUAGCCACCCAGUUACGUUGUGACGUUUGGUACACCCAAAGCAUUCCUACGGUAUCCGAAGUAGCACAAUCUCAUGGUCUAAGGAAAUGAUACUUGACAUUACAAAAGCUCUUAGCAAACAAACUACAUGAUCUUGUGUUAUGCUCAGGAUUGGGUCUUGUUCCCGUUAUCAAUGACAUCCAAUGUCCAUGGUCAGGAAACCAUAACCAUCUAUUGAUCAACGAACUAGUUAACUAGAGGCUUACUAGGGACAUGUUGUGGUCUACGUAUUCACACAUGUAUUACGGUUUCCAGUUAAUACAAUUAUAGCAUGAACAAUAGACAAUUAUCAUGAACUAGAAAUACAAUAAUAACCAUUUUAUUAUUGCCUCUAGGGCAUAUUUCCAACAAUUACCACCCGGGAAAGGCCAACGUGGUUGCCGAUGCCCUCAGUCGAAACCCUGUCAGCUUAAAUGCCAUAUCGAAAUCCUUGCCUCUCAAACUCCAAGAGGAGAUUGCUCAGCUCAACCUGGUCAUAGUGGAUGCUGGCCUCGCUAAUAUUUUGGAAAUUACCCCCACACUUGAGGAAGAGAUCCGCAAGGCCCAGCCAGCUGACAUCAAACUGCAGAAGCGUGCCAAGAGCCUGAUGGCAGGGCAGACCCCAAAUUUCUCCAAGGACAAAUUUGGUACUCUCCGAUUCCGUGGACGGAUUUGUGUACCCAAUCAGCCGGACUUAAAGAAGAAAAUCCUGUCUGAAGCACAUGAAUCCUCAUAUUCCAUUCAUCCGGGAGGCACGAAAAUGUAUGAGGACCUUAGACAAAUAUUUUGGUGGGAUGGAAUGAAGAAAGACAUUGCCUAUUUUGUGUCCUAUUGCGGCAUAUGCAACAAGGUGAAGGCAGAGCAUCAGAAGCCAGCCGGACUCCUCCAACCGCUGUCAGUUUCGCAAUGGAAAUGGGAUGAUGUUUGUAUGGACUUCAUUACGGGAUUUCCUAAGACUCAGAGAGGAAAUGAUGCAAUCUGGGUCAUAGUGGACACCUCAACCAAGGUUGCUCACUUCAUUUCGAUCAGCACCAGAUAUCGAGCAGAUCAACUUGCAUAGUUGUAUGUAUCCAGAAUCGUCAGUCUGCAUGGAGUACCUCGAACCAUCACUUUCGACCGAGGUUCCCUGUUUACCUCCAAUUUUUGGUCCCGUCUCCAUCAAGCCUUGGGGACAUCGCUGAAAUAUAGUACUGCUUAUCAUCCUCAGACUGAUGGAUAGAUAGAGCGGGUAAAUCAAAUACUCGAAGAUAUGUUGCAAGCAUGUGCUUUAGCCCAAGGAACUAAAUGGGAAGAUUGCUUGCCAUAUGCCGAGUUUUCUUACAACAACAGCUUCCAGUCCAGUCUAAAGAUGUCACCGUAUGAAGCUCUGUAUGGUCGUAAGUGCCGCACUCCAUUAAAUUGGUCUCAAACUGGAGAUAGCCGUAUCUUCGGAACAGAUCUCAUGAUGGAAGCUGAGAAGCAAGUUAAGGAAAUCAGAGACAGAUUGCAAUUGGCCAAAUCUCGACAGAAAAGUUAUUAUGAUGCAAAGCAUAGACAGAUCAAUUUUGAACCCGGAGAACACGUAUACCUCCGAGUCACCCCUAUGAAAGGAGUCAAGAGAUUUUAGACCCGUGGAAAGUUGGCACCCAGGUUUAUUGGUCCAUUCCCGGUUGUGUCCCGAGUGGGUACUGUUGCAUAUCAGUUGGAACUACCCGUUGAAUUGGCAGACGUGCAUAACGUGUUUCAUGUUUCAAAACUAAGGCGUUGCAUAUCCCCGCCUGAGAAAAGGGCUGCUAUGGCUGAGGUAGAGUUGGCAAAAGAUUUGACCUAUGAAGAAAGACCGUAUAGAAUUUUGGAUCAGAUGGAAAGGGUCACUCGCAGUAAAGUGAGAAAAUUUUACAAGGUUCAGUGGGAACAUCACACAGAGUCAGAAUCAACUUGGGAGUGGGAAGAAUUCCUAAGGGCUCAUUAUCCAGAGUGGUUUUCCCAAGCAACCGAAUCUCGAGGACGAUAUUCAUUCUAAGUGGGGGAGGUUUGUGACAGCCUGAUUUUGCCCUCUCUUAUUUGCCUGAUUUUCAUUUGCAUUUAUUUUGAAAGUUGGGGUUUCUGAAUAUUUUCAUAUGGACUUAAACACUUGGGUACCCUUGGCUUUCACCCAAGUGCAUCAUUCCCCUCUCUAAUCAUCAUUCCCCUUCUGAUCCAUCUCAAAAUAAUCUUGGGAAUAUUUUUCUUAAAUGAAAAAUAUUCAUUUUCUUCUCUAAAACCCUAGCUAGUUCAAUGAGCUCCAAAGCAACCCUCAUUUUAUGGCCCACAAAAAUCUGAGAAAAUUCCCAAAUAUUCUUUGAACCCUAGGGCACCUUCCUGAGCAAAAAUAUUUCAUCACUUUUUGGAAUAUUUUUGCUACAGAAAAUAUUUUAUGUUCUGGAUAGAAAUGGUGGUUUCUACAACAACUACCAUUUUACUUGCUCUCCUGUGCCUGAAUUUUCUUGUGCAUCAUCACCUUAAUAGAUGAUGGCUAGCCUCCAAAGCACAGCCCCCAACUCCCAUCCAUUUAACCUCAGUAACACCUCAAAGUUACUGAUUAGAAACUUACCUGGCGUGUGAAAUCUUCUCUACUGCACCUGGAGCCAAACCAAGGUGUGGUAACAUUCAAAACUACCACGAACAACGUGCCAGACAUGGAGUUUGGGCUUAGGUCGGCAUGAGGUCAUAGUUCACGCGGUGACCGCGUUCGUCCAGGCCUGCUGGCAUGCAGCCAACGCGCUUUGCGACGCGCCCGAGCCUCUGUUGCUCGCGUGCUCGCUUCCCCGCCUGCCUAAGCGUGCCAAACCUCGCCACCAUCACUAUCUCAACGCCAUUUACUCCUCCCUGGCGCUCGCCGACACCGGAGCUCGCCGCAGCGAGCAUGGGCACGGUCCGGCCAACCCAACAGUGCGGUGCACGCUGUGCUCGUCCCCGCUCGCCCACAGUUCCCACGUGAGCUGCGUCGCCUUCUCCCCCUCUCACUGACGCUGCUCGUCAUCGGGCGCCAUGGACAGGUGUCCACCGGCAGAGCCCGAACCCCCCUCUCCGCUCGCCUAUAAAUGGAGUCGCCCCCAGCCUCCUCGAGCACCAUCCACCACUCCCACACACCCCACAAACACGUAGGAAGUCGUAGCCCGGCCGGGCAGGCUGCGGGCCGCCGCCCUCGAGCUCGAGCUCGCCGGUGAUCCCCUCUAGUCGCCGCAGUAGCUCCAGCCCCUCCCAGGCCAGGGCGAUCCUUCCAGGGCCUCCGCCUCUCUCCGGUGAAGCCAUCCCUUCCCCUUGGAGCCCGUGGAGCUGCUUCUGCUCGCCGUCUUCUUCAUCUUCGGCGACCCCCACCCUAUGCCUCCGUUUGCGAGGAAGAUUCCGAUGUUGUCCGACCACCCCUAGCUACGCUACGGGUACGGGCAGGUGCGCUUCAACCCCCUCUCUCGAUCCCUCCCUAUGGUUUUGGCCAAGGAGCCCUCGUCGCCGGCGAGAGCUCCGGCGAAGCCGUGACCUUCCUAUGUUUCCUUCUCCCCUCCUUCUCACCUGACUAGCGGGGCCCACUAGUUGGCCACUCUGUACGCGCGUGAAGCGGUACGAGUGGUGGCGCCCUGAGGCUUUACGCCUUCGACGUCACCCCCUGGUCUGUUUAUUUAAAUUCAAAUUUCAUUCAAUUCCAAAGAGCUUCAAACCUCCAUAACUUUUCAACCAUAAGUCCAAAUGAAUUGAUUAUUUUUGCAUUAUGUUCUUUGCAAGGAAAUCUAGCAGCUCACCAAAAAUGAGAUUUUUCUGAGCUGUCUAGAAUUUCUGGUGAUUUUCAGAAGAGUUCUUGAUAUUUUCUUCUUGUGUUUAAAAUUAUUUUCAAAGGGUGAGGCUUGUCUUGAGGAUCAGCAGAAGGCUUGUGAACCUCAUCUGCACUAAGGCAAGCCACAACAACAUUUUCAUUGUGCCAUUUCAAUAUUGAUGAAUUUCUUACUUGAAUUGAAUGAUUAAUCCAUGCAUUUUAAAUAACUAUUAUGUUACUUAUAUGCUGUCAAAGUGUGUGCUCGUAUUAUGCUUGAUUUACAGAACCUUGAAACUAGUUAGUUGGUAAAGAGGCUAAGAUCUAAUUAUGGUAAUGAUAAAAUGAUUUGUUAUGUGUAUGAAUAAUUGCUUAAAGUUAUUUUCUUGCAUAAAUAAAUAGUUAAAUUUGCUAGAAUAUAUCAUGUUUAGUGCUGGUAUAGCCAUUUUACUUAAUUUCUAGAAUGUUUGAACCUAACUUGAUUGGUAAAGAAAUUAGGAUUUGCUUGAGGUGAUGAUAGUAGAAUCUUUGCUAUGCAUAUGAGGAAUUAAUCGAAGUUAUUUUCUUGCAUGAGAAAAUAAUGUUACUUGCUGAAAAAUAUAUUGUUAAAGUGAGACCAGGAAAGUAAGAUAAGUUGUUGAUGCUUAUGCUUAGUGUGAAUAUGGUUGACAGCAGUCAUUUUCAUAUUAUAUGAUGCAUGUGUAGUAUUGCAUUUCAUGGCAUGCUAUGACACCGGUCAUUUUCAUUUUAAGUUUAACCUGAAUAUAACUCAACUUGAAUAUAUCGUUGACUGGGUCAUGGUGCCGCUGAAUCGAGAUUUUUCUAGUGCAACCACAUUUGCCUUUGUGGGAAGGCCUUGAUUCGGUCCAUUGACAUGUCUCUGGUCGGUGCCUGCAACUAGGGAAGGUUAUGGGCAUGCUUACCCUAGCCCGGUAAGCAGGCAUAACCUUGUGUGCCCAUUGUUGAGAUUUUGGUACCGGGUCCCCGAGUGGGAUUGUUUUGGCCACGAUGGUGGUCGGUGUGUCUUUGGUAGACACGGGGCCACCCAGGACUAGCCCGUUGGGGAUUGGGUCAGAGUGGCCGUUGGGGAUUGGGUCGGAGUGGCCGGGAGAGUGUCAUGGCAAUGGAAGGGUUUUGUCGGAAUGUCGUUGGUCCACCCAAAUGGGAGUGCGAGGCCAUGGGUUCCGUGGUGUGGGUACAGUGUGCUACCUCUGCAGAGUGUAUAAUCUAUCGAUAGCCGAGUCCACGGUCACGGACAACUCGUAGUAGGUCCCAUCAUGAGUCAAAUUUUAAUAAACAUGCACACUAAGUUAUGAUCAUUGCACUGAUUAUGAUGGCGGAAAGGCCAUCGAGCUGUUCGAAACCCAAUAUGGGUCGUGGUGGUGAUCGCCGAAAGGAUCAUGAGUUACUCUGGUUAAGACCAUGAUGGUGGUGUGGUGGUGAUCGCCAUAAGGAUCACGAGUUAUUCUGGUCAAGACCACGAUGGUGGUUUGGUUGUGAUCGCCGUAAGGAUCACAGGUUACACUGGUUAAGACCAUGAUGGUGGUUUGUUUUGUGAUCCGAGAAUGAUCACGGUUGGUAAGUUGGUCCCGAGGGACAUUUAUCCCAAGAGCAUGAGCACAACAUGUUGGAACAUUAUUGCAUUAUUAAUUGGUUAAAUAUCAUGAUAUUGUUUGUCAUUAUGAUUAUGCAUGUUGUGAGCUUGCAAGUACAUUCAAUGUACUGACCUGGCGUGUCAUGCCAGAUUUCAGGAAAGUCGCGUUGGAAAGGAGCGCUGCUCGAGUCUAGAUCGUGUCCACACCGGUGUCCCUGUGCUAUGGAGUUUCCGCUACGACGUUGUUCUGCUGCCGCAUAGUUGAUAUGAUUGAGGCCCCAUUAUGUUCACUAAAUAAUGUACAUAUUGUUCAGCCGCACCGUGUGUGCUGCUCGGCAUCGACAUCUGUUGUAAUAAAAACUCUGACCUAUUAGCAUCAAUAAAGCGGUUGUUUUCUGUACCAAGAUGUUGUGUAUUGCCAGAAGACAUGGUCUCUGGGCUGGCAAUGGAGGGUAAACCGAUCGCUCCGAGCCGGGGUGCCACAGAUGUCUAUCUAAGUGGGAGUUCUUAAGUAAUAUGAUUAAUUGAACUUAAAUUUAUCAUGAACUUAGUCAUGAUAGUAUUUCCAUAUCCUUGUUGUAGAUCAAUAGCUCGCGAUGUAGCUCCCCGUUUAUUUUUGAUAUGUUCCUAGAGAAAAACUAAGUUGAAAGAUGUUAGUAGCAAUGAUGUGGAUUGGAUCCGUGAUCUGAGGAUUAUACUCAUUGCUGCACAAAAGAAUUAUAUUCUUGAUGCACCGCUAGGUGACAGACCUAUUGCAGGAGCAAAUGCAGAUGUUAUGAACGUUUGGCUAGCUCAAUAUGAUGACUACUUGAUAGUUUAGUGCACCAUGCUUAAUAGCUUAGAAUCGGGACUUCAAAGACGUUUUGAACAUCAUGGAUCAUAUGAGAUGUUCCAAGAGUUGAAGUUAAUAUUUCAAGCAAAUACCCGAGUUGAGAGAUAUGAAGUCUCCAACAAGUUCUAUAGCUAAAAGAUGGAGGAGAAUAGCUCAAGCAGUGAGCAUGUGCUCAGAUUGUCUGGGUACUACAAUCGCUUGGAUCAAGUGGGAGUUAAUCUUCCAAAUAAAAUAGUGAUUAAAAGAAUUCUCUAGUCACCAUCACCAAUUUAGUAGAACUUCGUGAUGAACUAUAGUAUGCAAGGGAUGACGAAAACGAUUCCCGAGCUUUUUCAUGAUGAUGAAAUCGAUGAAGGUAGAAAUCAAGAAAGAGCAUCAAGUGUUGAUGAUUAACAAGACCACUAGUUUCAAGAAAAGGGCAAAGGGAAAGAAAGGGAACUUCAAGAAGAAUGGCAAGCAAGUUGCUGCUCAAGUGAAGAAGCCCAAGUCUGGACCUAAGCCUGAGACUAAGUGCUUCUACUGCAAAGGGACUGGUCACUGGAAGCAGAACUGCCCCAAGUAUUUGGCGGAUAAGAAGGAUGGCAAAGUGAACAAUGCUAUAUUUGAUAUACAUGUUAUUGAUGUGUACUUUACUAGUGUUUAUAGCAACCCCUCGGUAUUUGAUACUGGUUCAGUUGCUAAGAGUAGUAACUCGAAACGGGAGUUGUAGAAUGAACAGAGACUAGUUAAGGGUGAAGUGAUGAUGUGUGUUGGAAGUGGUUCCAAGAUUGAUAUGAUCAUCAUCGCACACUCCCUAUACUUUCGGGAUUAGUGUUGAACCUAAAUAAGUGUUAUUUGGUGUUUGCGUUGAGCAUGAAUAUGAUUUGAUCACGUUUAUUGCAAUACAGUUAUUCAUUUAAGUUAGAGAAUAAUUUUUAUUCUGUUUACAUGAAUAAAACCUUCUAUGGUUAUACACCCAAUGAAAAUGGUUUGUUGAAUCCCGGUCGUAGUGAUACACAUAUUCAUAAUAUUGAAGCCAAAAGAUGCAAAGUUAAUAAUGAUAGUGCAACUUAUUUGUGGCACUGCCGUUUAGGUCAUAUUGGUGUAAAGCGCAUGAAGAAAAUCCAUGCUGAUGGGCUUUUGGAAUCACUUGAUUAUGAAUCAGUUGAUGCUUGCGAACCAUGCCUCAUGGGCAAGAUGACUAAGACUCCGUUCUCCGGAACAAUGGAGCGAGCAACUGACUUAUUGGAAAUAAUACAUACUGAUGUAUGCGGUCCGAUGAGUGUUGAGGCUCGCGGUGAGUAUCGUUAUUUUUUGACCUUCACAGAUGAUUUGAGCAGAUAUGGGUAUAUCUACUUGAUGAAACAUAAGUCUGAAACAUUUGAAAAGUUCAUAUAAUUUCAGAGUGAAGUGGAAAAUCAUCGUAACAAGAAAAUAAACUUUCUACAAUCUGAUUGUGGAGGAGAAUAUUUGAGUUACGUGUUUGGUCUUCAUUUGAAACAAUGUGAAAUAGUUUCGCAACUCACGCCACCUGGAACACCACAGCGUAAUGGUGUGUCCAAACAUCAUAACCAUACUUUAUUAGAUAUAGUACAAUCUAUGAUGUCUCUUACCGAUUUACCACUAUCGUUUUGGGGUUAUGCAUUAGAGACAGCUGCAUUCACGUUAAAUAGGGCACCAUCUAAAUCCGUUGAGACGACACCUUAUGAACUGUGGUUUGGCAAGAAACCCAAGUUGUCGUUUCUUAAAGUUUGGGGUUGCCAUGCUUAUGUGAAAAAGUUUCAUCCUGAUAAGCUCAAACCCAAAUAUGUCUUCAUAGGAUACCUAAAGGAGACUGUUGGGUACACCUUCUAUCACAGAUCCAAAGGCAAGACAUUCGUUGCUAAGAAUGGAUCCUUUCUAGAGAAGGAGUUUCUCUCGAAAGAAGUGAGUGGGAGGAAAGUAGAAUUUGAUGAGGUAAUUGUACCUUCUCCCGAAUUGGAAAGUAGUUCAUCACAGAAAUCUGUUCCGGUGAUGCCUACACCAAUUAGUGACGAAGUUAAUGAUGAUGAUCAUGAAACUUCAGAUCAAGUUACUACUGAACCUCGUAGGUCAACCAGAGUGAGAUCCACACCAAAGUGGUACGAUAAUCCUGUUCUGGAGGUCAUGUUAAUUGACCAUGAUGAACCUACGAACUAUGAGGAAGCGAUGAUGGGCCCAGAUUCCGCAAAAUGGCUUGAGGCCAUGAAAUCUGAGAUGGGAUCCAUGUAUGAGAACAAAGUGUGGACUUUGGUUGACUUGCCCGAUGAUCGGCAAGCCAUAGAAAAUAAAUGGAUCUUCAAGAGGAAGACAGACGCUGAUAAUAGUGUUACUAUCUACAAAGCUAGACUUGUCAAAAAGGGUUUUGAUAAAGUUCAAGGUGUUGACUACGAUGAGAUUUUCUCACUCGUAGCGAUGCUUAAGUCUGUCCGAAUCAUGUUAGCAAAUUGCCACAUUUUAUGAAAUCUGGCAAAUGGAUGUCAAAACUACAUUCCUUAAUGAAUUUCUUAAAGAAGAGUUGUAUAUGAUGCAACCAGAAGGUUUUGUCGAUCCUAAAGGUGCUAACAAAAUGUGCAAGCUCCAGUGAUCCAUCUAUGGACUGUUGCAAGCAUCUCAGAGUUGGAAUAUACGCUUUGAUGAGUUGAUCAAAGCAUAUAGUUUUAUACAGACUUGUGGUGAAGCCUAUAUUUACAAGAAAGUGAGUGGGAGCACUACAGCAUUUCUGAUAAAUAUAUGUGAAUAACAUAUUGUUGAUCGGAAAUAAUGUAGAAUUUUCUGGAAAGCAUAAAGGAGUAUUUGGAAGGAGUUUUUCAAAUAAAGAUCUCGGUGAAGCUACUUACAUAUUGAGCAUCAAGAUCUAUAGAGAUAGAUCAAGACGCUUGAUAAGUUUUUUCAAUGAGUACAUACCUUGACAAGUUUUGAAGUAGUUCAAAAUGGAACAGUCAAAGAAAGAGUUCUUACCUGUGUUACAAGGUGUGAAAUUGAGUAAGACUCAAAGCCCGACCACGGCAAAAGAUAGAAAGAGAAUGAAAGUCAUUCCCUAUGCCUCAGCCAUAGUUUCUAUAAAGUAUGUUAUGCUAUUUACCAGUCCUAUUAUAUACCUUAGCAUCAUUAUGGCAAGGGAGUACAAUAGUGAUCUAAGAGUAUAUCACUGGACAGCGGUCAAAAUUAUCCUUAGAGGACUAAGAAAAUAUUUCUCGGUUAUGGAGGUGAUAAAAGAGUUCGUCGUAAAACAGUUACGUCGAUGCAAGCAUUUACAUCAAUCUUGAUGACUCUAAGUCUUGAUCUGGAUACAUAUUGAAAAUGGGAGUAAUUAGAUAGAGUAGCUCCAUGCAGAGCAUUGUAGACAUAGAAAUCUGCGAAAUACAUAAGGAUCUGAAUGUUGCAGACCCGUAGACUAAACUUCUCUCACAAGCAAAACAUGAUCACUCUUUGGGUGUUAAUCACAUAGCGAUGUGAACUAGAUUAUUGACUCUAGUAAAGCCUUUGGGUAUUAGUCACAUGGAGAUGUGAACUAAUCACAUAAAGAUGUGAACUAGAUUAUUGACUCUAGUGCAAGUGGGAGACUGAAGGAAAUAUGCCCUAGAGGCAAUAAUAAAGUUAUUAUUUAUUUCCUUAUAUCAUGAUAAAUGUUUAUUAUUCAUGCUAGAAUUGUAUUAACCGGAAACAUGAUACAUGUGUGAAUACAUAGACAAAUAGAGUGUCACUAGUAUGCCUCUACUUGACUAGCUCGUUGAUCAAAGAUGGUUAUGUUUCCUAGCCAUAGACAUGAGUUGUCAUUUGAUUAACGGGAUCACAUUAUUAGAAGAAUGAUGUGAUUGACUUGACCCAUUCCGUUAGCUUAGCACUUGAUCAUUUAGUUUGUUGCUACUGCUUUCUUCAUGACUUAUACAUGUUCCUAUGACUGUGAUAUUAUCCAACUCCCGUUUACCGGAGGAACACUUUGUAUGCUACCAAAUGUCACAACAUAAUUGGGUGAUUAUAAAGGUGCUCCACAGGUGUCUCCGAAGGUACUUGUUGAGUUGGCAUAUUUCGAGAUUAGGAUUUGUCACUCCGAUUAUCGGAGAGGUAUCUCUGGGCCCACUCGAUAAUGCACAUCACUAUAAGCCUUGCAAGCAUUGUAACUAAUGAGUUAGUUGUGGCAUGAUGUAUUACGGAACAAGUAAAGAGACUUGCCGGUAAUGAGAUUGAACUAGGUAUUGAGAUACCGACGAUCGAAUCUCGGGCAAGUAACAUACCGAUGACAAAGGGAACAACAUAUGUUGUUAUGCGGUUUGACCGAUAAAGAUCUUCGUAGAAUAUGUAGGAGCCAAUAUGAGCAUCCAGUUUCCGCUAUUGGUUAUUGACCGGAGAUGUGUCUCGGUCAUGUCUACAUAGUUCUCAAACCCGUAGGGUCCGCACGCUUAAUGUUCGGUGACGAUUUGUAUUAUGAGUUUAUGUGUUUUGAUGUUCCGAAGGUAGUUCGGAGUCUCGGAUAAGAUCGGGGACAUGACAAGGAGUCUCGAAAUGGCCGAGACAUAAAGAUCUAUAUAUUGGAUGACUAUAUUCAUGUUCGGGAACGUAGCAAUUUCAAAAAAAUUCCUACGCACACGCAAGAUCAUGGUGAUGCGUAGCAACGAGAGGGGAGAGUGUUGUCUACGUACCCUCGUAGACCGACAGCGGAAGCGUUAUGACAACGCGGUUGAUGUAGUCGUACAACUUCACGGCCCGACCGAUCAAGCACCGAAACUACGGCAUCUCCGAGUUUUAGCACACGUUCAGCUCGAUGACGAUCCCCGGACUCCGAUCCAGCAAAGUGUCGGGGAAGAGUUCCGUCAGCACGACGGCGUGGUGACGAUCUUGAUGUUCUACCGUCGCAGGGCUUCGCCUAAGCACCGCUACGAUAUUAUCGAGGAGUAUGGUGGAAGGGGGCACCGCACACGGCUAAGAAAACGGUCACGAGGAUCAACUUGUGUGUCUAGAGGUGCCCCCUUGCCCCCGUAUAUAAAGGAGCAAGGGGGGAGGCCGGCCGGCCCUUGGGGCGCGCCAAGGAGGAGGAGUCCUCCUCCUAGUAGGAGUAGGACUCCCCUCUUUCCUACUCCUACUAGGAGGGGGAAAGGAAGGGGAGAGGGAGAAGGAAAGGGGGGGCGCCGCCCCCCCUCUCCUAGUCCAAUUUGGACCAGAGGGGGAGGGGGCGCGCGGCCCACCCUGGCCGCCCCUCUCUCUCCACUAGGGCCCAUAAGGCCCAUUACUUCUCCCGGGGGGUUCCGGUAACCCUCCGGCACUCCGGUUUUCUCCGAAAUCACCCGGAACACUUCCGGUGUCCGAAUAUAGCUAUCCAAUAUAUCAAUCUUUAUGUCUCGACUAUUUCGAGACUCCUCGUCAUGUCCGUGAUCACAUCCGGGACUCCAAACAAACUUUGGUACAUCAAAAUAUAUAAACUCGUAAUGAAACUGUCAUUGUAACGUUAAGCGUGCGGACCCUACGGGUUCGAGAACAAUGUAGACAUGACCGAGACAUGUCUCCCGUCAAUAACCAAUAGAGGAACCUGGAUGCUCAUAUUGGCUCCCACAUAUUCUACGCAGAUCUUUUAUCGGUCAGACCGCAUAACAACAUACUUUGUUCCCUUUGUCAUCGGUAUGUUACUUGCCCGAGAUUCGAUCGUCGGUAUCUCAAUACCUAGUUCAAUCUCGUUACCGGCAAGUCUCUUUACUCGUUUCAUAAUACAUCAUCUCGCAACUAACUCAUUAGUUGCAAUGCUUGCAAGGCUUAUGUGAUGUGCAUUACCGAGAGGGCCCAGAGAUACCUCUCUGACAAUCGGAGUGACAAAUCCUAAUCUCGAAAUACGCCAACCCAACAUGUACCUUUGGAGACACCUGUAGAGCUCCUUUAUAAUCACCCAGUUACGUUGUGACGUUUGGUAGCACACAAAGUGUUCCUCCGGCAAACGGGAGUUGCAUAAUCUCAUAGUCAUAGGAACAUGUAUAAGUCAUGAAGAAAGCAAUAGCAACAUACUAGACGAUCGGGUGCUAAGCUAAUGGAAUGGGUCAUGUCAAUCACAUCAUUCUCCUAAUGAUGUGAUCCCAUUAAUCAAAUGACAACACAUGUCUAUGGUUAGGAAACAUAACCAUCUUCGAUUAAUGAGCUAGUCAAGUAGAGGCAUACUAGUGACGUUUAGUUUGUCUAUGUAUUCACACAAGUAUUAUAUUUCCGGAUAAUACAAUUCUAGCAUGAAUAAUAAACAUUUAUCAUGAUAUAAGGAAAUAAAUAAUAACUUUAUUAUUGCCUCUAGGGCAUAUUUCCUUCAGUCUCCCACUUGCACUAGAGUCAAUAAUCUAGAUUACACAGUAACGAUUCUAAUACCCAUGGAGCUUUGGUGCUGAUCAUGUUUUGCUCGUGGAAGAGGCUUAGUCAACGGGUCUGCUACAUUCAGAUCCGUAUGUAUCUUGCAAAUCUCUAUGUCUCCCACCUGGACUAGAUCCCGGAUGGAAUUGAAGCGUCUCUUGAUGUGCUUGGUUCUCUUGUGAAAUCUGGAUUCCUUUGCCAAGGCAAUUGCACCAGUAUUGUCACAAAAGAUUUUCAUUGGACCCGAUGCACUGGGUAUGACACCUAGAUCUGAUAUGAACUCUUUCAUCCAGACUCCUUCGUUUGCUGCUUCUGAAGCAGCUAUGUACUCCGCUUCACAUGUAGAUCCCGCCACAACGCUUUGUUUAGAACUGCACCAACUGACAGCUCCACCGUUUAAUGUAAACACGUAUCCGGUUUGCGAUUUAGAAUCGUCUGGAUCAGUGUCAAAUCUUGCAUCAACGUAACCAUUUACGAUGAGCUCUUUGUCACCUCCAUAUACGAGAAACAUAUCCUUAGUCCUUUUCAGGUAUUUCAGGAUGUUCUUGACCACUGUCCAGUGAUCCACUCCUGGAUUACUUUGGUACCUCCCUGCUAGACUUAUAGCAAGACAUACAUCAGGUCUGGUACACAGCAUUGCAUACAUGAUAGAGCCUAUGGCUGAAGCAUAGGGAACAUCUUUCAUUUUCUCUCUAUCUUCUGCAGUGGUCAGGCAUUGAGUCUUACUCAAUUUCACACCUUGUAACACAGGCAAGAAUCCUUUCUUUGCUUCAUCCAUUUUGAACUUCUUCAAAAAAAAUUCAAGGUAUGUGCUUUGUGAAAGUCCAAUUAAGCGUCUUGAUCUAUCUCUAUAGAUCUUAAUGCCCAAUAUGUAAGCAGCUUCACCGAGGUCUUUCAUUGAAAAACUCUUAUUCAAGUAUCCCUUUAUGCUAUCCAGAAAUUCUAUAUUAUUUCCGAUUAGUAAUAUGUCAUCUACAUAUAAUAUCAGAAAUGCGACAAAGCUCCAACUCACUUUCUUGUAAAUACAGGCUUCUCCAAAAGUCUGUAAAAAACCAAAUGCUUUGAUCACACUAUCAAAGCGUUUAUUCCAACUCAGAGAGGCUUGCACCAGUCCAUAAAUGGAUCGUUGGAGCUUGCACACUUUGUUAGCUCCCUUUGGAUCGACAAAACCUUCCGGCUUAUACAACUCUUCUUCCAGAAAUCCAUUCAGGAAUGCAGUUUUUACAUCCAUCUGCCAAAUUUCAUAAUCAUAAAAUGUGGCAAUUGCUAACAUGAUUCGGACAGACUUAAGCAUCGCUACGGGUGAGAAGGUCUCAUCGUAGUCAAUCCCUUGAACUUGUCGAAAACCUUUUGUGACAAGUCGAGCUUUGUAGACAGUAACAUUACCGUCAGCGUCAGUCUUCUUCUUGAAGAUCCAUUUAUUCUCAAUUGCUUGCCGAUCUUUGGGCAAGUCAACCAAAGUCCACACUUUGUUCUCAUACAUGGAUCCCAUCUCAGAUUUCAUGGCUUCAAGCCAUUUUGCGGAAUCUAGGCUCACCAUCGCUUCUCCAUAGUUCGUAGGUUCAUCAUGAUCUAGUAGCAUGACUUCUAGAACAGGAUUACCGUACCACUCUGGUGCGGAUCUUACUCUGGUUGAUCUACGAGGUUCAGUAGUAUCUUGUUCUGAAGUUUCAUGAUCAUCAUCAUUAGCUUCCUCACUAAUUGGUGUAGGUGUCACAGAAACCGGUUUCUAUGAUGUACUAGUUUCCAAUAAGGGAGCAGGUACAGUUACAUCAUCAAGUUCUACUUUCCUCCCACUCACUUCUUUCGAGAGAAACUCCUUCUCUAGAAAGUUUCCGAAUUUAGCAACAAAAGUCUUGCCUUCGGAUCUGUGAUAGAAGGUGUAUCCAAUGGUUUCCUUUGGAUAUCCUAUGAAGACACAUUUCUUCGAUUUGGGUACGAGCUUAUCACGUUGAAGCUUUUUCACAUAAGCAUCGCAGCCCCAAACUUUCAGAACCGACAACUUUGGUUUCUUGCCAAACCACAGUUCAUAAGGCGUCAUCUCAACGGAUUUUGAUGGUGCCCUAUUUGACGUGAAUGCGGCCGUCUCUAAAGCAUAACACCAAAACGAUAGCGGUAAAUCAGUAAGAGACAUCAUAGAUCGCACCAUAUCUAGUAAAGAACGAUUACGAUGUUCGGACACACCAUUACGCUGUGGUGUUCCGGGUGGCGUGAGUUGCGAAACUAUUCCGCAUUGUUUCAAAUGUACACCAAACUCGUAACUCAAAUAUUCUCCUCCACGAUCAGAUCGUAGGAAUUUUAUUUUCUUGUUACGAUGAUUUUCAACUUCAUUCUGAAAUUCUUUGAACUUUUCAAAUGUUUCAGACUUAUGUUUCAUUAAGUAGAUAUACCCAUAUCUGCUUAAGUCAUCUGUGAAAGUGAGAAAAUAACGAUAUCUGCCACGAGCCUCAACAUUCAUCGGACCACAUACAUCUGUAUGUAUGAUUUCUAAUAAAUCGGUUGCUCUCUCCAUAGUACCGGAGAACGGUGUUUUGGUCAUCUUGCCCAUAAGACACGGUUCGCAAGUACCAAGUGAUUCAUAAUCAAGUGGUUCCAAAAGUCCAUCAGUAUGGAGUUUCUUCAUGCGCUUUACACCAAUAUGACCUAAACGGCAGUGCCACAUAUAAGUUGCACUAUCAUUAUCAACUCUGCAUCUUUUGGCUUCAACAUUAUGAAUAUGUGUGUCACUACUAUCGAGAUUUAAUAAGAAUAGACCACUCUUCAAGGGUGCAUGACCAUAAAAGAUAUUACUCAUAUAAAUAGAACAACCAUUAUUCUCUGAUUUAAAUGAAUAACCGUCUUGCAUCAAACAAGAUCCAGAUAUAAUGUUCAUGCUCAACGCUGGCACCAAAUAACAAUUAUUUAGGUCUAAUACUAAUCCCGAAGGUAGAUGUAGAGGUAGCGUGCCGACCGCGAUCACAUCGACUUUGGAACCAUUUCCCAUGCGCAUCAUCACCUCGUCCUUAGCCAAUCUUCGCUUAAUCCGUAGUCCCUGUUUUGAGUUGCAAAUAUUAGCAACAGAACCAGUAUCAAAUACCCAGGUGCUACUGCGAGCAUUAGUAAGGUACACAUCAAUAACAUGUAUAUCAUAUAUACCUUUGUUCACCUUGUCGUCCUUCUUAUCCGCCAAAUACUUAGGGCAGUUCCGCUUCCAGUGACCAGUCUGCUUGCAGUAGAAGCACUCAGUUUCAGGCUUAGGUCCAGAUUUGGGUUUCUUCUCCUGAGCAGCAACUUGCUUGCUGUUCUUUUUGAAGUUCCCCUUCUUCUUCCCUUUACCCUUUUUCUUGAAACUAGUGGUCUUGUUGACCAUCAACACUUGAUGCUCCUUCUUGAUUUCUACCUCCACAGCUUUCAGCAUUGAGAAGAGCUCGGGAAUUGUCUUAUUCAUCCCUUGCAUAUUAUAGUUCAUCACAAAGCUCUUGUAGCUAGGUGGAAGUGAUUGGAGAAUUCUGUCAAUGACGCAAUCAUCUGGAAAAUUAACUCCCAAUUGAAUCAAGUGAUUAUUAUACCCAGACAUUUUGAGUAUAUGCUCACUGACAGAACUGUUCUCCUCCAUCUUGCAGCUAUAGAACUUAUUGGAGACUUCAUAUCUCUCAAUCCGGGCAUUUGCUUGAAAUAUUAACUUCAACUCCUGGAACAUCUCAUAUGCUCCAUGACGUUCAAAACGUUGUUGAAGUCCCGAUUCUAAGCCGUAAAGCAUGGCACACUGAACUAUCGAGUAGUCAUCAGCUUUGCUCUGCCAGACAUUCAUAACAUCUGGUGUUGCUCCAGCAGCAGGCCUGGCACCCAGCGGUGCUACCAGGACGUAAUUCUUCUGUGCAGCAAUGAGGAUAGUCCUCAAGUUACGGACCCAGUCCGUGUAAUUGCUACCAUCAUCUUUCAACUUUGCUUUCUCAAGGAACGCAUUAAAAUUCAACGGAACAACAACACGGGCCAUCUAUCUACAAUCAAACAUAAACAAGCAAGAUACUAUCAGGUACUAAGUUCAUGAUAAAUUUAAGUUCAAUUAAUCAUAUUACUAAAGAACUCCCACUUAGAUAGACAUCCCUCUAAUCCUCUAAGUGAUCACGUGAUCCAAAUCAACUAAACCAUGUCCGAUCAUCACGUGAGAUGGAGUAGUUUCAUUGGUGAACAUCACUAUGUUGAUCAUAUCUACUAUAUGAUCCAUGCUUGACCUUUCGGUCUCCGUGUUCCGAGGCCAUAUCUGUAUAUGCUUGGCUCGUCAAGUAUAACCUGAGUAUUCCGCGUGUGCAACUGUUUUGCACCCGUUGUACUUGAACGUAGAGCCUAUCACACCCGAUCAGCACAUGGUGUCUCAGCACGAAGAACUUUCAGAACGGUGCAUACUCAGGGAGAACACUUCUUGAUAAUUAGUGAGAGAUCAUCUUAAAAUGCUACUGUCAAUCAAAGCAAGAUAAGAUGCAUAAAAGAUAAACAUCACAUGCAAUCAAUAUAAGUGAUAUGAUAUGGCCAUCAUCAUCUUGUGCUUGUGAUCUCCAUCUUCGAAGCACCGUCAUGAUCACCAUCGUCACCGGCGCGACACCUUGAUCACCAUCGUAGCAUCAUUGUCGUCUCGCCAAUCUUAUGCUUCCACGACUAUCGCUACCGCUUAGUGAUAAAGUAAAGCAUUACAGUGCAAUUGCAUUGCAUACAAUAAAGCGACAACCAUAUGGCUCAGGCCAGUUGUCGAUAACUCGGUUACAAAACAUGAUCAUCUCAUACAAUAAAAUUUAGCAUCAUGUCUUGACCAUAUCACAUCACAACAUGCCCUGCAAAAACAAGUUAGACGUCGUCUACUUUGUUGUUGCAAGUUUUAUGUGGCUGCUACGGGCUUAAGCAAGAACCAAUCUUACCUACGCAUCAAAACCACAACGAUAGUUUGUCAAGUUGGUAUUGUUUUAACCUUCGCAAGGACCGGGCGUAGCCACACUUGGUUCAACUAAAGUUGGAGAAACUGACACCCGCCAGCCACCUAUGUGCAAAGCACGUCGGUAGAACCAGUCUCGCGUAAGCGUACGCGUAAUGUCGGUCCGGGCUGCUUCAUCCAACAAUACCGCCGAACCAAAGUAUGACAUGCUGGUAAGCAGUAUGACUUAUAUCGCCCACAACUCACUUGUGUUCUACUCGUGCAUAUAACAUCAACACAUAAAACCUAGGCUCGGAUGCCACUGUUCGGGAACGUAGCAAUUUCAAAAAAAUUCCUACGCACACGCAAGAUCAUGGUGAUGCAUAGCAACGAGAGAGGAGAGUGUUGUCUACGUACCCUCGUAGACCGACAGCGGAAGCGUUAUGACAACGUGGUUGAUAUAGUCGUACGUCUUCACGGCCCGACCGAUCAAGCACCGAAACUACGACACCUCCGAGUUUUAGCACACGUUCAGCUCUAUGACGAUCCCCGAACUCCGAUCCAGCAAAGUGUCAGGGAAGAGUUCCGUCAGCAUGACGGCGUGGUGACGAUCUUGAUGUUCUGUCGUCGCAGGGCUUCGCCUAAGCACUGCUACGAUAUUAUCGAGGAGUAUGGUGGAAGGGGGCACCGCACACGGCUAAGAAAACGAUCACGAGGAUCAACUUGUGUGUCUAGAGGUGCCCCCUUGCCCUCGUAUAUAAAGGAGCAAGGGGGGAGGCCGGCCGGCCCUUGGGGCGCGCCAAGGAGGAGGAGUCCUCCUCCUAGUAGGAGUAGGACUCCCCUCUUUCCUACUCCUACUAGGAGGGGGAAAGGAAGGGGAGAGGGAGAAGGAAAGGGGGCGGCGCCCCCCUCUCCUAGUACAAUUCGGACCAGAGGGGGAGGGGGCGCACGGCCCACCCUGGCCGCCCCUCUCUCUCUCCACUAGGGCCCAUAAGGCCCAUUACUUCUCCCGGGGGGGUUCCGGUAACCCUCCGGCACCCCGGUUUUCUCCAAAAUCACCCGGAACACUUCCGGUGUCCGAAUAUAGCCGUCCAAUAUAUCAAUCUUUAUGCCUCGACUAUUUCGAGACUCCUCGUCAUGUCCGUGAUCACAUCCGGGACUCCGAACAAACUUCGGUACAUCAAAAUAUAUAAACUCAUAAUGAAACUGUCAUCGUAACAUUAAGCGUGCGGACCCUACGGGUUCGAGAACAAUGUAGACAUGACCGAGACAUGUCUCCGGUCAAUAACCAAUAGCGGAACCUGGAUGCUCAUAUUGGCCGCAUAACAACAUACUUUGUUCCCUUUGUCAUCGGUAUGUUACUUGCCUGAGAUUCGGUCGUCGGUAUCUCAAUACCUAGUUCAAUCUCGUUACCGUCAAGUCUCUUUACUCAUUUCGUAAUACAUCAUCUCGCAACUAACUCAAUAGUUGCAAUGCUUGCAAGGCUUAUGUGAUGUGCAUUACCGAGAGGGCCCAGAGAUACCUCUCCGACAAUCGGAGUGACAAAUCCUAAUCUCGAAAUACGCCAACCCAACAUGUACAUUUGGGGACACCUGUAGAGCUCCUUUAUAAUCACCCAGUUACGUUGUGACGUUUGGUAGCACACAAAGUGUUCCUCCGGCAAACGGGAGUUGCAUAAUCUCAUAGUCAUAGGAACAUGUAUAAGUCAUGAAGAAAGCAAUAGCAACAUACUAAACGAUCGGGUGCUAAGCUAAUGGAAUGGGUCAUGUCAAUCACAUCAUUCUCCUAAUGAUGUGAUCCCGUUAAUCAAAUGACAACACAUGUCUAUGGUUAGGAAACAUAACCAUCUUCGAUUAACGAGCUAGUCAAGUAGAGGCAUACUACUGACGUUUAGUUUGUCUAUGUAUUCACACAAGUAUUAUGUUUCCGAAUAAUACAAUUCUAGCAUGAAUAAUAAACAUUUAUCAUGAUAUAAGGAAAUAAAAUAAUAACUUUAUUAUUUCCUCUAGGGCAUAUUUCCUUCAAUUCGGACAUCGGAAAGGUUCCGAGUGAUUCGGGUAUUUUUCGGAGUACCGGAGAGUUACGGGAAUUCGCCGGGGAGUAUACGGGCCUUAUUGGGCUUUAGGGGAAAGAGAGAGGAGAGGCUGCGCCCCCCCCCCCCAAUGCUUAGUCCGAAUUGGACUAGGGGGAGGGGCGGCGCCCCCUCCUUCCUUCUCUUCUCUUUCCCUUUCCUUCUCUCCUACUCCUACUACUUGGAAGGGCUCCUAGUUCUACUAGGAAAGGGGGAAUCCUACUCUCGGUGGGAGUAGGACUCCCCUAGGGCAUGCCAUAGAGAGGGUCGGCCCUCCCCCUCCUCCACUCCUUUAUAUACGGGGAGGGGGCACCCCUUGGAGACACAACAAUUGAUCUCUUGGAUCUUUUAGCCGUGUGCGGUGCCCCUCUCCACCAUAGUCCACCUCGAUAAUAUCGUAGCGGUGCUUAGGCGAAGCCCUGCGAUGGUAGAACAUCAACAUUGUCACCACGCCGUUGUGCUGACGGAACUCUCCCUCAAAGUUCGGCUGGAUCGGAGUUUUAGGGAUGUCAUCGAGUUGAACGUGUGCAGAACUCGGAGGUGCCGUACGUUCGGUACUUGAUCGGUCGGGUCAUGAAGACGUACGACUACAUCAACCGCGUUGUGCUAACGCUUCCGCUUUCGGUCUACGAGGGUACGUCAACACACUCUCCCCUCUUGUUGAUAUGCAUCACCAUGAUCUUGCGUGUGCGUAGGAUUUUUUUUGAAAUUACUGCGUUCCCAACAUAUUUUUCAUAUAGAGAGUCUCUUGAGUUAUAACUUUCAUAUACUAGUGAGAAUUUUCAUUAUAGAACUUUGCUUGUAUAUUCCGAUGAUGGGCUUCCUCAAAUGCCUGAGGUCUUCAUGAGCAAGCAAGUUGGAUGCACACCCACCUAGUUUUCAGUUUGAGCUUUCAUAACUUAUAGCUCUAGUGCAUCUGUUGCAUGGCAAUCCCUACUCCUCGCAUUGACAUCAAUUGAUGGGUAUCUCCAUAGCCCGUUGGUUAGUCGCGUCGAUGUGAGACUUUCUUCCUCUUUGUCUUCUCCACACAACCCCCAUCAUCAUAUUCUAUUUCACCUAUAGUGCUAUAUCCAUGGCUCAUGCUCAUGUAUUGCGUGAAAGUUGAAAAGGCUUGAGAUCGAACACUAAAAGUAUGAAACAAUUGCUUGGCUUGUCAUCAGGGUUGCGCAUGAUGAAAUACUUUGUGUGAUGAAGAUGGAGCAUAGCCAGACUAUAUGAUUUUGUAGGGAUAACUUUCUUUGGCCAUGUUAUUUUGGGAAAGACAUGAUUGCUUUAUUAGUAUGCUUGAAGCAUCAUUGUAUUUAUGUAAAAUGAUAGACUAUUGCUUUGAAUCACUCGUGUCUUAAUAUUCAUGCCAUGAUUAGAUUAUAUGAUCAAGAUUAUGCUAGGUAGCAUUCCACAUCAAAAAUUAUCUUUUUUAUCAUUAACUACUCGAGGACGAGCAAGAAUUAAGCUUGGGGAUGCUGAUACGUCUCCGUUGUAUCUAUAAUUUUUUAUUGUUCCAUGCCAAUAUUCUACAACUUUUACAUAAUUUUGGCAACAAUUUAUAUGAUUUUCUUGGACUAACAUAUUGAUCCAGUGCCCAGUGUCAGUUCCUAUUUGUUGCAUGUUUUUUGUUUCGCAGAAAAUCCAUAUCAAACGGAGUCCGAACACGCUAAAAACUUGUGGAAUUUUUUUGGAAUAUAUGUGAAUUUUGGGAAGUGGAAUCAACGCGAGACGAUGCCCGAGGGGGGCACAAGGCAGGGGGCGCGCCCUGGGCCCUUGUGAUCACUCCGUAAGGCGGUUGGUGCCCUUCUUCUGGCGCAAUAAAGCUAAUGUCCGGAUAAAAAUCGUGUUAAAAUUUCAACCCAAUCGGAGUUAUGGAUCUCUGGGAAUUUCAGAAACGAUUAAAGGCCAGAAUCUGGGAACGCAAAAACAGAUAGAAACACAGAAAGAGAUCCAGUCUCGGAGGGGCUCCCGCCCCUCCGCCGCCAUGGAGGCCAUGGACCAGAGGGGAAACCCUUCUCCCAUCUAGGGGGAAGGUCAAGGAAGAAGAAGGAGGGGGCUCUCUCCCCCUCUCUCCCGGAGGCGCCGGAACGCCGCUGGGGCCAUCAUCGUGCCGGCGAUCUUCACCAACAACUUCAACGCCGUCAUCACCAACUCUCUCCCCUUCUAUGCAACGGUGUAACACCUCUUCUCCCCGCUGUAAUCUCUACUUAAACAUGGUGCUCAACGCUAUAUACUAUUUCCCAAUGAUGUAUGACUAUCCUAUGAUGUUUGAGUAGAUCUGUUUUGUCCUAUGGGUUAAUUGAUGAUCGUGAUUGGUUUGAGCUGUAUGUUUUAUUAUUGGUGUUGUCCUAUGGUGCUCUCUUUGUCGCGCAAGCGUGAGGGGUCCCCGCUGUAGGGUUUGCAAUAUGUUCAUGAUUUGCUUAUGGUGGUUUGCUAUAGUGACAUGAGUUUAAACCCGAGUAAGUAGGUUGUUUGCGUAUGGGAAUAAACAGGACUUGAUACUUUAAUGCUAUGGUUGGGUUUUACCUUAAUGAUCUUUAGUAGUUAUGGAUGUUUGAUAGAGUUUCAAUCAUAAGUGCAUAUGAUCCAAGGAGAUAAAUUAUGUUAGUUUAUGCCUCUCCCUUAUAUAAAAUUGCAAUACUGAUUACUGGUCUAGUUAUCAAUCGCCUAGUGACAAAUAACUUUCUUGUCACAAAAAGCUCUCUACUAAAACCAAUUUAGUUGUGUCUUUAUCUAAACAGCCCAUAUUUGCCCUUAUCGCGUACGUUAAUGCUUUUAUUUUAUUUUAUUUUGUUCAUCAAUCUGUUAUACCUGGUCUUUUUUUAAACAAUCUGUUAUACCUGGUUAGUUUAUACUAGUAAAUAUGCUCGUGCAUUGCAACGGGCCCGAUAAAUACGGCUCAAGACCCCCACAAUUCAACGUCCUCUAUUUCAACACGGUGUCCCACCCGUGUCACCACUUAUCUUAGUCCCUCGCCGACACGUGUCACCACUUAUCUUAGUCCCUCACCGACACGUGUCACCACUUAUCUUAGUCCCUCACCGCCGGUGAUUACCGCAGUGUCCUCUAAUCACAACAUGUAUGGACUUCGUCAAUCCCAGCCAUUGCAUGACACACAUGUCAUUAAUGUGCAAUCACAAUUGAAUGUUUAAAACAUUUAAGGCCUCCUUUGGUUUAGAGGAAUUUCAUAGGAAUUCUAGAGGAUAGGAUUCUUAUAGGAUUUUUUCCUUUAGAGCCCUUUGGUUCAUAGGAAUGGAUUCCUAUUCCUACAUAGGAUUGGUUCCUAUCCUCCACAUUUCAUAGGAAAAUAAAAAAGAGCCUAGACUCAAUGGAAAAAUUCCUUUGGUGUCAACCAAAUGACAUCUUGUUUCCUAUUCCUACACAUAGGAUUUGAGAUACAUGUCAUCUCAUUUCCUACAAGAUUCCUAUUCCUAUGGUAAUCCUAUCCUAUGAACCAAAAGAAGCCUAAAACUAAUCUUGUCGAGCUGGACAUGAGGACCGCUCUCCACAAGCUAUUCCCUACAUUUGGUCCCACGCAUUCCGCUAGAGUGACAACAGGGAGGUCCUCGAGGAAAGUAGCACCCUGAGUAGGGUGUCAUUGGCGGUCGUCGCAGUGCUACACUACCGUGAGCGGGAUCAAGGAACUAGGUCGUGGAGGGUCACUCAAAGUCUGAUCCGAUGUGCAUUGUUGAUGGGUGCCAACGGCCGAACCAGGGAUUCGUCAUCACACUCUAGCACGCGGCUUUUGUGAACCCCUCCCUCCACCAACUUGUAAUUAUGAAAAUUUAUAAUGAUGGUGGGCUUCGCCCCUGUCUCAUCUAUUAGGAGACCCCUGUGUUGCUUUCGACAAAAGGUGGAAAAUACCUCCGCAUGCACCAUUGAAAGCGUCAAAAUCAUCUACUUUUUGCCUCUUUGUUGACCAUUAUGCGGUUCACCGAUCUGUCAGCUCCGUCCUGCGGAGACACGAUGUUGAGUGAGAGGAUGCAUCAUUGUCGAGGGCCGGACAUGCACCUCUCGCAAAAGUGAAUUGGAAGUAGAUGGCAUGCAAGGGCAGGUUGACGACAGCCGCUGGCAGAAAAUUCGAAUAUGGAGCAAGGAUAAAUAGACAAUCAAGUCAUUGUCUCCUUUUCUCUCUUAUUACUAACUAACUAAUUCAUUUUAUUUUAUUUACAUUUAUAAAAAACGUCUUAAGAAACAAAUACCAUUUCCUAUUGAUUUUAGCUCUAAUGCUUUUUGCUGCCUCAAACUCACUGACCUAUGUUGAACCAUUCAAUAUAUAGCACACCCUUUUUUGGGAGCGGAUAUAUACUCCUAGAGUCGGUGCCUCCAUUUUUCUAUGGUUCUCAUUGACUGAUAGCAACUGGUAGCAACUGGUCGCGCCCUCCCACACUCGCUUUUUUAUUAUAGGGCCAAGAUGAUACGACCGAAAAUAAUUCAAGCCCUAUAUCUGCACAACAAGAUGUAACAGAACAUCCUCUCAUUUCAUUGAUCAAAGCAUAUUUGUAGUCACUCAAUUCAUAGUUUUGAACAUGCCAAUGGCAGGACUGACACGUGCAACAAUCAUACAUAUGUUGUCAACUCUUCGCUUCGAUGGCGGUGGCUAGGUCAACCUAGGUGCUAGGUGAGGAGGCCAUCAUACGCAGUGCCAGUUCCUAGAGGGCAUCCGAGGAGGCCGGAGAGGCUUGCCUCAGGCAGGAGCCUAGAGACGUCGUCCCAUGCCCGGCAACGCCAGCCACUGCAGCACCUCGCUUGACAACUCAACAUUCUUUAAACAGCCUGAAAUAAUUUGUAGUGUCAUUAUAGACUGAAGUAAAGUUUGAUUUAAAAGUUUCUUCAGUGCUAUAUUUACCACUGGUAUGAGGAAACCUUAGCAAUAAAUUAAUAUGGUCGGUAAGAUGCAUAUGGUUUUUCAGUAAGAAUUCACCCUUCCAAAGCAUGAAACUUGCAGAUUGCCACCCAUCUUCAGUCACACUUGAGACCAGAGAGACUGAAAUUGGAGGCGUUGGAAUAGACCUCAUCUUCCUGGAAGUAAGAGUUAUUCAAGAGCUCACUUGUAGGAAGUCUUUCAUCUACAUGAGCUAGACAGAUUUCUAUGAAAUUCUACUUAUGUUCCUGACUCUAAGUUAUACUGAAGUAUUUUAGCAGUAAACAUUAUGUUAGCGUCAGACUUACAUAGUUGCUUUCGAAGAGCAAAAAGUUUAACGCAGCUGUAUUAGCAGGUCAAAAGUAACACCUAUUAACUCCAUAAUCCUAAAUCUCAAGAAAAGACUCACCAAAAAAACAUGUAAUAAACUGUUACCAAGAGUCCAGCAUCGAGGACAUCGCCUUUUGAAGAACAAAUGCCAAGUGUAUGUGAGCUAAAUAUACUUAUACAGAUCUAGGGGAUACGAUGAGACUAUGCUUCCAAGCACAGAAAGAAGUACAUGAUUGGCAAUGGCACAAACAAAUCUGCACAUAGUAAAUAACCUGAUACAGUAUAGACUAUACACCAAGGGAAACCGGAACAAAGUGAUUCACAAAAUGUACAAACUUUACAGACUCUGCAGGCUAUAAAAUCAGAAGAUAUAUACUCAGGUGUAGGUUCUUCAAAAUAACUUCAAUUGGUUGCACCUUUGCUCAGAUCAAAUACAAAUAGUAGCUGCAUUUGUUCAGAACAAAGAAUUGAAGCAUUCAUAGCUUAGCUGCCCUUUGCUUCAGUUAAACAAUACAUGCUAGCUUGCUUGAUGGUUGUGCCCAAAAAAUCCAGAGUGAACAACUCUGAACCUGGCUCUAGCUAAAAGAACAAAAUCAUUGGCUUAGGUAAGCUUUACUCAGGUUGCUUGAUGGUUGUGCCCAAAAAAUCCAGUCAACAACUCUGAACCUGACUCUGGCUAAAUUACAGACCAGAGCAGUAACUAUCAAUCAGAUUUAUACCAAAGUGAAUCCCUACAACCCCCUAACUGAAAAAGGUAAUGAUAUUGGCAUCUAUAUUACUGAAAGUACAGUACAAUAUAUAUACUUUCAGUUCUGCUACUUUAUGCUCAGUAAGUAACCAUGGGUUUAGGAGAUAAACUCACAUGUUCAGAAUACAUCCAACUGCGAAAGACUGGUUACACUUCAAAUAUAUGUUGAGAUAUCUAUUCAUGUGUAUGCCACUGCAAAGCUAAUAGAUGAGUAAGCAAUUGGAUUUCAUUAGUACCACUAUAACAGAAGAAUAACCAAGCAGAUUUCAGUAUGCAAUUGGAUUUCAUUAGUACUAUAUGAGUAAGGCUAUCACAGGUUAUCAAAUCCAUCAAACACUAUAACUGAGGAAUAACCAAUUCAAACAGUGACAAGCAAGCAAAUCUUUUGAGAAGGACAAACCAAUCUUUCAAGCAUUCAGUUCAGAAGAUUCAGAACACACGCGUUUGGUUCACAGCUUCAGAGUGAUUUUGGCUAGCUAGACAGUAAACUAACGGAAGGAAAAGGCACGAGCGAGCAGCGGCAGCAGCAGGGACACGCACGAGUGCGAGAGCAGCAGCAGUCGUCGCGCACGGGCUCGCCAGCGAGCAGCGCCAGUAGCAGGGACGCGCACAGGCUCGCCAGCGCGACAGGGGACAGGAAAAUAAAUCAAACAUGGGUCAAACAUACCUCUGGUGUAGCCGCUGCUGGCGACAUUGGAGUGCUUGACGUCUGUUCUUGUAGCUCCAGCGAACUCGACGUUUCUUCCUCCGGCGAACUCGGCGAAUACAUUGGACGUUUUGUCCAAAUCAAAAAUUGAACCAUGGAGAUUCUGGCCGACUAUUCUUCCUUCUUAUAGCAGAAAACAACAAUCCGGGUUGGGCACUCCAUUGAACUGUGUUCAACAAGGACACGACCUGCAAUCCGAUCCAAAUCAGGCAUGGGUCUCGUGCGCGAGCACGGCGCCGCUCACGGCCCGCAGCCCCUGAAGCAAGUUGUUGACGCCUGCAUCAUCAAGCUGCAGCCGCCGUUGCUGUCUCCAGGACAACACCUCCUCCUCAUCGCCCUUCAAACCACCGGCCCAAGCCCCGGCGCCAUCGGCAACGGCCCGACGUCGUGCUGCCGCGCCCGAGCCCGUGCGAGGCGGCCUCCAUCCUUCCAAGCGAGCAUGCCGGCCACCGCCAAUCCCUCUCGACCGCUGUAGCCCUCGCCAAGCCCCCGCCGUAGCGCCACCGGCCUGCGUCCUCCUGCGCCUCCUCGACCCCGCCUCCUCGCGCCCGCGCGCCGCCGCCUCGGCCUCGCCUCGUCGGCGGCAAGCCCCCUACGGAGCUUCCAGAGGUCGCUCGCCUCCUCGCCGGAAGCCGCCGCCGCCGGGAAUGGAUUCGCCGACGCCAGCUGCGGCGCCUCGACCCGUUCCAAGAAUGGAUAGGUGGUGGAGCUGGCCGGUGGUGGCAGGGUUUUUUUUUGCAAAAAAACGAAACGUUUUCCAUCACUUUAAGUAGGACGGUGGGUUAAUUUCUUAGAAACAGAGGGACGUUUUUGCAAAAAGACUAACGACGGACGACCAGAAGCAAUAGCUGGCUUAUCUCUAUAUAUAUAAUAAUAUAAUAAUAAAUAAUAUAUAUACUACUAUUAAACAAGCAAACAUAUUCAUCGCUACAUGCACCCAGCCUAAGCUACACAGAACAACACGGAGAAAUUACAGCCUCCCGAUCAGAUAGCAUAAUUUGAUCUAACGGUCAAGAUUACACAAACCCACAUCAAAAGUACACUUAGCAUUUUAUUCUGGGCGGACGAGAACUCUGCCACUAGUGAGCGGAGGAAAGAUUGGUUUGGCAACGACAUAAUCCCACCCUCAAUUAGCGCUAACCUCUCACCUCUAAUCCCAUCCCCAAUUAGCGCGUCCCAACCUUCCCAAAUCGCGGUCUCAGCUCUGCUCCGCCCUCGCCCACCCGCCCGUUUCGCAUGCCCCCAAAUCCACCGUGGCCGCGCCGCCGUAGCAGCAGCACCACCCCAUCAUCGACGGCAGGAGGAACAGCAGCAACGAGGAUGCAUUUCAGGAGGUGGACCCGACCGGGCGGUUCGGGCGGUACGCGGCCAUGCCGGGAUGGGCUCCGUUAAGAAGGUUCGACCAAGAGGAGUGCAUCGAGGUGGCGUGGAACCGGGUGCGCCUGUGCGCGCUGGACCCCGCCAUGGUCGACCGCCGCCAUGCCGAGGUGCGCCUUCUCCGCUCCCUCCAUCGUGACCACAUCAUAGGCUUCCACGAGGUCUGGCUCGACCAUGACGCUGGCGUGCUGAACUUCAUCACCGAGGUUUGCAACUCGGCGAGCCUUCGCAAGUAUUUCGACCGCCACAAGCACGUCUCCGUCAAAGCGCUCAAGAAGUGGGCGCUCCUUGAGGGCCUUGACCACCUCCACACCCGCGACCCCUGCAUCAUCCACCGCGACCGUACUUGCAGCAACGUCUUCAGCAACGGCAACACCGGCCAUGUAAUACCUGUGCCAAUCAAUCUCGCUCGCCUAGCUAAUUGCCUAUCCUCUCACACUUCUUGGUUCGGACAGCCUCAACGGCGACGAGGACAACAGUAGGAUCUAACAUACGGUUCUUGGUCCACCCUUUUCAUCGUACUGGAUUAGGAAUGCUUGCUUGUACCUGGUGCUGAUGGUUGGGGUUCUGCAGACUUGGCAAAGAUCGUGAAUUUUCUCGGUAUCAUGCAAAGCGAUUCAGUUGAGAGGAAUGCAACUCUUUGUUCUUUGAGGCUUACUUUUCUUUAGUGUUCGAUUUUGUUACAUAUCUGCUGUGUGACGAGAAUUGCAAACUCAGAUUCAGCGGGCGCCAUCUUUUGUGGUGUUGCAUGCCAGAGGCAGGCAGUUGGAGCUUCUCCGUCUAAUUGUUAACUUGGUGGAAGCUAGCUGCUAUACCGACAACCUAGAGUGGAGGUUGGUUUAACACUUCACUCUUUGUAGUAUAAUUUCUCUAUGCUGAUUAUACAAAACCAUUAGUCAGAUUCUCAUAAUCGGUAACUAUUUUCUGUUAAACAUUUUCCAGCAUUGUAAGCAGAAAAGGUUUUUGAUGCAAAAUGUACUUCAUUGUACAGAAAGUAUUAGAUGAUGUUUUAACCUCAGUGUUGGAGCAUCUGACACAUACAUUACCUGACAAAUUGCUCCCUCACAGUGUCGUUGAUGAGCAGUUAGAAAGGAUGUACAACUUGUAGAUUCCAUUGCCAUACAUUACCUGAAAAAUUGCUCCCUCGCAGUGUCGUUGAUGAGAAGUUAGAAAGGAUGUACAACUUGUAGAUUCCAUUGCAGAGAAACAUGCUUAGAUUUUUUUCAGAAGAGUGCAAGUCUUUUCCUGCUGCUGUCCAAAUACAACCAAUUUACCCCCUAUAAGUGAACCCAAUUUUAUGUUCUUGUCAGAUGCAUUAUUUAGAAGGCACAAAUUUCUAACACACAUAUAAUUUUGAAAAGGUAUGAAUCUGUGUUGCUGUUUUGUGACCCCCCAGAUGACAAGCAAUUUCAAGAACCACCACCAUUUCAGUGUGAACAUAGAAUAAAUAUAGUAUGGGUGUUUAAAAAUCUUUCCUUUAUGACUGUUUGGAAAUCUAUCAGUAUUGUUCUAUUUCUAAAUGAUUUUUUAGUAUCAGAUAUAAAAAUAGCAGUCAAAUUUCGGAAUAAUUACGGUGCAUAGUUGGUUAAUUUAUUCAGAAAGGGGAGAACCAUAAGUAGUUGUUUGCACUUUAAAGCUUUGCUCGAUUUCUUGUUUAGCUCAUUUCUGUUGACUUUUGUACAGCCAAAUCAGGAGCUUGGAUGAUGUCAGGUUGAAUCUUGAGGUUCUCAAGUACUUGUGAUGGUAUUCUCUUAUAUAUCUAACUAAGAAGAUGUAGAUAAUAAAAAAAUUAUUUGUUUUGUAUAACUUUACUGCACAUAUGUGUAUGAGUGUAUGUUCAGAUUGUUCAACACCCCCUUUAUUUUUCUAGAAUCCCGUGCCAUUUUGUAUUUGUACAGCUUGCAUUGAGGGAGUGCAGCAAAUCCAGGACUCACCAUGAUGAUGUGCAUUCUAAGAAAAAUAUAAUCAAAUUCCUAUCACUUAAGAUACCUUUACUAGCGGAACAAUGGAAUUGUGUGUACAAAAUCUUUCUUUCAUAGCAAUUAUGCUGAUAAAAUAUUCGUCCUUCAUGUUUUGCAGAAUAGUUCAGUGAAAUGUACAAAGGGAUAACCUUGGAUGCAGUACUGGAGCAUAGGCGGGACACUACUGGUCCUUGCCCCCACCUCCCUUCCUAGAGGAAAUUUUACCAAAUAUGCUUAUAUUUCUGCUAAUCGUUCUACUAACCCUCCGGCGUCUCUGAUCACCCUAGCCUUUUUUAUGUCAUACACUCAUUUUGGCCCCUCCUAAUAUCUGGUUCAUGCUCCCCCACAGCUUAGAUUGUGAAGACUUGCUUAGUCCAUCCUUUUGCUUUGCUUACUAAUGAUGCCCCAAGAUGCAAAAUACUAAUUAUUUUGCUUUAUGUGUGUGCUACAUUUUAGAUGCAAUUGCUGAUCAACAUCUUUGGCUUCACGGUUAUUCAUGGAAACUGGAUGUGGUGAGUGUCGUCAAAAUUUUAUCCAUUUUUUAUUUUCUUCACAUUUUUACUAAAAUGACUAUUCAGACAAGCUUAAAAAAAUAGAUAAAUUGGUUUCAUAACGUUUGGAUUCUAGAGGCUUGUCAUGCACUGCAAGUCUACAUGUUGAUCCAUUUGAACCAAUGCAUGAGCUCAGUCGAAUUCAUAUCAAUGUCCUUUAACACUGCAGGCAAUGAAACAAAAGGACUUGCACUGGUUGGGAGGCAUGGAGAGUUCAAGUACUAUCUGGGAUACUACUUACAUUGCUAAUAAGUUAACGUCUGGUCCUAAUACUAGGAUUCCCAGCUAUCUUAGUUUCAAGCCCUAUAUGCUGAUUUGAUUGAAGGUGGAAAUGGGACUCCUUUUGGUGCUUAAGUAAUAACUCGAUGAUAGCGGGAACUGGUUGAAUUAUCAAUAUACAUUUGGGCAUAGAGCAUGAGGAUGUAUGAAACUUCUGAACACUUUCAGGUUGUCUAUAAAUUAACAGUCUUGGCCACUUAAGAAAAGUGAAUUGCAACUAAAUUGUUGAAAAUGCAGUUCUACGAUUAAGUACUUUGCUGAAAUUUUCAGGUUGUCGGACAAACUGCAACUAUGAACAGUAUGCCUCAUUUGACUCUUGUGGGGGUAGAGCGAUAAAAUAAACAUGUCAUCACUAGGCGAGUUCAAACACUGGAUGGCAAG